rnacentral:lncRNA from 1 species
UUUUUUUUUUUAACUUGAUGCUUCUUUUUUUUGUAUAUUUUCGCGUGUGUCUAAAAACACAUGGUAGCUGUUAUGGCUUUUAUAGCCAAUUUACAACAUUGUAUGUUACUAUUCUUUUAUAUUUUCUUUAUUGUUUCCACUGCUUUGCGUGUUUGCAUUCGUUGUCCUUGUUCUUCCUUUUUUGUAGGUGUCCCUUGAAAGUCAACGACGGGGCAAGGAACUUACCUUGCCAUUUUGGUGAAAUGGUGACAGGGGCAGACCUCCGGACGAGAGGCUUCGGGCGACAUGCCUGCAAAGGUGGUGCGGCGCCAAGCUAGGGUUUUUUUACUGAAAAGCAGUUUAGAUUGUUUGGCCACCAAGCCCCUAGGUUUUUUCAUUUGGGUUUUUGGGCCUUGUAAAUGGAUUGGCAUAUUUUAACUGGACUUGGGUUUUAUUAUUUAUUUUUGGUUUUUAUUUUUUUGUUUAUUUAUUUCUGAUUUUGGGCUGGAUAAAAUUAGGCCUUUACAACGUGGUUAUAUAUAAUUGGGAUGCUCUAAGAGUCCUAAAGUUUAACUCAUGACUUCCCAUUUCUUUUGGGUUUGCUUUGAUUUUUGGUUUACAUUAUAAGAUAGUGAUCAAAUUUUAUUUUUGACCCCUAUACUAUCCUAUAACUUGAUAUUUGAUUUAUAUACUUUAAUUUUUUUUAUAAUUUGGUCCAUCUAUUUUUAUAAUGUCAUUAAUUGCUCUAAAUAGUUAAUAUUGUUAACUAUUUUAAUCAAAACGCUAACUUCAAUUUUUCUUAAGAAUACUAUUCCAAAAAAAAAUUAUCAUGACGAAUUUGAAUGAAUAUUUUUAAGAAAAAAUUCACAACAAUAUUUUCAAUGUUAUUUUUAUUGCAACAUAAAUAUCAAGUGAAUAUUUUUUUUAUUUAAAAUUUUAAACCAAUGAAUUUAAUAGAAAGAUUUUAAACCAAAAAAUUAUUUUAUCAUGAUGAAUUUGAAUAGUAAUUUUUAAGCAAAAAAAUUCACAAUAAUAUUUUUAUUGUUAUUUUUAUUAUUUCUUAAAUAUUAAAUAAAUAUUUUUAUUAUUUUAAAAUAUCACGUCCAUAAAUUUAAUAGAAAUAUUCUAACAAUAAUUUCCACUCUAAAUCUAAACUUUUAAAUCCAAACAGUAAAAAACCUAAAAUCUUAAAAAUAAUACUUAAAACCUAUUCAACCCGUUUAUAAUUUAUCACAAAAAAUGAGUAGACAAAGCUCCAUUUUAUACCAUUUGGAAGAACACAAAUAACAAAAAAAAAAGUUGUUACAAAAAUCUGGACGAAUAUGCAGAAAAUAAGAUUAAACCUUGGAGUUUAUCCAUUUAUAAAUGGCGCAACACUGACAGCCAUAAAAAGGGGAAUUAUAUAAUAUUAUAUGAAGAAAAGUGGAAAGGGAGUUUGGCGCUGCAAUGAUAAGCACAGUUUGUUUUGGGGAUGACAAAGAUAAGGUCUCUUUAUCUUUUCAAUUAUUCACUCAAUACUAUAUAUAGUGGCCAUGCAGAGAUACGAAGCAGAGCAGGGUAACUUACAAAAGUUGAACACAUGGACGGUCUCAAUAAUCAAAAUUUCAUGAUUCUUCUGCCCAUACCAACCAAUCAUUUUCUCUCUAAUUUUUAAUUUAAUUUAAUUCAAUUCAUGGAAUUUGGAAUAAAAUUAGAAAAAAGAACCAGAAAUGAGAUUUGUAUAAGAUGCUCUUUUGGUUGGCAAAACCCAAGCUCAUAGCUGUAUUUGUGCUUAUUUUAACUUAUAUUUGAAUUAUUUAUGAGUUUUGGGAAUCUCCAAAAUUGAUCGAACAUUCACUUCAUUUGGGAGAAGAACUAAAACACCAAUAAUACAUUGAUUCCAAAAAUAUGAUUAUUAGGAAUAUAAUAUUACUAUGUUUGCUAUAAUUAGAAAUGUACUAAUUAAAACUAUGAGAAAGUCAUAUUGAUAUAUUUGGUUUAUUUAGGACUUUACUAGUAACAUGAUGGUAAAUUUUGAAAUUAUAUGCAAAUUUUAAAAUAAAAAUAAAUUAAUAUAUGAUAAUUUUUUAAUUUAAUAUAUAUUUAAUUAUUAUAUAAUUUAAAAUUUAACUUGAUAGUAUUUGAAAUAAAUUUAGAGUUAAAUAAUUUUUAUGAUUUUGUAAAGGAAAAAUAUAUACAAAUAAAGAAAAUAAAGAAAAAAAAAAAGAGCAACUUUGUCUGGAUGUAACUUUCUAACUAUAUGGAAAAUUACCUUCCCAUUAUUACUUAAAGGAAUCACAUUUUCAUGGUUGGUCACUAGGACAUCAAACUUGGUGAACUCUAUUGGUAAGUGAUGUGAGCAUGGGUACGCAUUUAGGACCAAACAUGAAGGUUUCAUUACUUGGAGAUGUGUUUCAUGUACCUACAGGGCCAAUUACAAGGGUAAGGGCUAGAAAACUUAAGGAGACGCUCAAUGCUCUUAUAUAAGUCAUUUGGGCUGAGUUGGAACAAUUUUCAUUGCAUUUUCGAGUUAACAUGGAACAUCAACCUUGCAACGUUUUAUUCGUUGCUCAAGAAGUACUUUUGUUGACCAUACAUCUUCCAUGAAGACCUUUCAUCUCCAAAUCAGAAUUCAAGGAUUCAAGCAUUCAUGGACGAAUUUAAUAGAGGAAGAAUUAAUGAUUCAAGCAUUCAUUGGUCAGGUUUAAUGGGAGGAAUUCUAAAAGGCUCAUUCAAGCAUCUUAGGUGACCAUUCGAUUAACCAAAGUCCUUGAUAAUUACCACAAUUCAAGAUGGAAGCUGAACAUGACUUUUGGAAAACAAGUGAUUUUUCAGCAACCUUGUGACCUUUGGAGAGAUUCUAUUUUAAUGCAUUUAUGCACAUUAAGUAAUCGUUUAGUAACUCCCAUGCACAAUCAUUUCCACCAUCAGAAAAAGGGGGUUGAAUAUGAAUUUUGAAGUUAUUCUUUGUUUAUUAAGUCUACAUGUAAGGUUGGGAGUUAUGUGACUUUUCGUGUACUACAUGCAUUCAUGCAUAAUUAAGGCUUUAAACUUCAUGGAUGGGUUGACUAUUCAUAUACCUAGAAUAGUCUAUAAAUAGUUGCUCAUUUUGUAAUUUGAAGAUUGAUGAAUCAAAAUACAUUUUGUGAGAUUUUCACUUGAGAACUUAUCAAGGCUUUUUCCAUGUAGAGUUCCUCUUUCAUUUCUUAUACAUUCAGUUCUUGAUUAUUUAUAAAUAAUGGGUCGGUGUCUGUUCAAAACUAAUUCUUAUUUUCAACGGGUCACGUUCCAAUAACGUUGGUUCUUUUCUCGUACAAGUCAUUGAUUCAAGAUCCCUAUCUUAUUUAUUUAGUUAUCAAGUACCUGUUUAAAAACGGUCAGACAUUCAAGAGACAUGUAAUUAUAAAAUGAUUACGAGCUCACAUCAGUAAGUCUCUCUCCUCUAUUAAUGUUGUACAAAUGUAUGAAUGAGUUGAACGGGGGUCAACCAAUGCAUAAAAAAAUUAGUCAAAUAAGGGAAGUAUACCCUGAUGACAUAAGCACAAUCUAGAGCUCGGGACUCAGGUCUAGAUGUAGCCUCCUUGGUAAUCCUUUGACUACCAUUUAUCUUACUACUAACUCCAAAGUUUUUACCCCUCUGAGUUGUAGAACUAGGUUUUGCAAACUGAAUAGUAGUGCCCUCGAUCCUCUUUGGACAAUCUUUAUACUAGUUGUCUUGGGACCCACAUCGGAAGCAUGCCCCAAAAACAUUCAAACAAACUCCGAUGUGAUUCUUGUUGUAGUGAUCACAUGAUGGAAUUGAUGCUUUUCCCGAUCCACCAGUAUUAGCUAUCGAAAUAGUUUAUUGGUUUUGUCUACCUUGUUUCUUGCCUCUAUGCCCAUGAGAUCAUGUAGGAGAAAAGAAACGGUCUCGUGAUUCUCUAUCUCUCUUGGUUGAUAAUGGUGAAAAUGAACAAAGGUGAAGCCAGGGGUUGGCAGUAGCCUUGGCUUCCUUAAAAAUGAAAAAAAAUUAAUUUAGUCCCUUUAAAAUUAUUAAAAUUACAAGUAAAUCUAUUGUGAAAUUAUACUUUGACCCCUAAAAAUAUGAAAAAGAAAUUUUUGUUUAGUCUCUUUAAAAGUAAAAGAAUUAUAUAUUAAUAUAUGAUAAAAUUUCAUUUUGAAUUUUCAAGUAUUUUAUAAUUCGGUUCGCCCCCUAAAAAAAUUUUUAGCUUCACCUCCUGCAAUGAAUUCAUAGUCAUUCUCUUUCCAUGAUUUUUUUAUUCACCUUUUUCUUCUUAGCAACCAUUUUCUCCAUUUUCUAAGCUCUUUCAGAUAAUAACAAAAACUCACUUAUCUUAAGAGUCCCUACAAGUAGCUUGAUGUCUUCAUUAAGGCAUCACUUGACCCUUGUACAGAUUUCCACCUUAGUUGCCGCAAGCUCAUUUUCAUAAUAACAUAAUUAACUAGAUUAUAGAAGGUAACUCAUUAAGGCUUACUCAAACCUUAUACACAUUUCCUUGAUGUCUCCAUUUUUUAACCUUGUACACAUUAAGGCCCCACUCGAACCUUGUACACAUGUCUUCAGACAAAAGAACUCUCUCUUUCAUACUCAACAACUAUCAUACUGUCUUGCUUCAAAUAAAGAGACUCUCUCUUCUUCUCUUCCAAGUAUAACAGAUUGAUGUACUUCAUCCAGUAUUCAGUUAGAAAAAAGUUCCAGUUCACCCUCUUGAUAAGAGUUACACUUAUCGCUGUAACUUACCAUUGAUUGGCCCUAUUAUUCAAAAGACAGAUGGCACACCACAACUUUUCUUCGGAUGUGCAUUGGAGUUCCUUAAAAACUCUUUAGACAUUCUUUAAUCAAUAUUCUGCCACAAAUAAAUCAUUAAUUUUCUUGCCCCUGAGCUCUUCAACCCCAUACUUUCGAAGAUUAUCUAAAGAAAAAAGAAAUGUGAAAAUCAUUCAAGUGCAUGAAUAAACACACAUUCAAGCUCAUAAAUUAUAAUGGAAAAUCAAUAAACCAAUUAGUUAUAGUGCAUGCAUGCACCUCAAAGAUUUAAUCAUUCAACCAUGGCCCCAAGGACAACCAAAAAAUAAUCUUUAAAUUAUAUCCUCUAACAAAAUAGUAAUAACAUCCAACUUCAAUGUCCCCAAUUAAUAUGAAACUAAUAUAUAUAUAUACAAUAUGAAUAAACCCCUAAGUACAUGCCAUUAAAAAGCCACUUCUACAUGUAUUUAAGUUUCACGCUCUUCAAUGCCUUAGAAUAGUGAUAUGAUCCAAAGAGUUGAGUUGGCUUUACGAUCUCUACUCAAAAUCUAUACACAAGAAUAUAGUGGUGUGUUAUGUAUAAAUGAUUUAGUAAAAACUCAUGGAAAUGAACUCACUUACCUUCUUACCAAGUGUGAGACUUGAGUAAUAGAAGUAAAUUAAUUAAUAUAACAUUAAUAAGUGAUACAAUUAGUCAAGCAUACUUAGUCAUAUGCACACACACGCGCACGCACGCACGCACACGCACACGCACACAUUAGAGUUCUAAUCAUACUGAAAUAUCCCUGGAAUAAUCAGAGUCCAACUAAGAGAAGUAGUCCUGCUUGAAGUAUAAAAUGUGGCUGCCAAAUAGGAGAACACGCUGUGACAUGGCAUAUCGCCUCAUCACGACAUUGUCUAUGCUUUGUCGUUUCAACAUUGUCGCAUCGUCUCGACGCCCUGAUGCUUCUCGUCGUGAUGUUAGACCUAUUUUGGGCCUUCUUCGAUUGCUUGUCAAAACAUCUUUCAAAGUACCUUCAAAACAUCCGAUAAAUGCAAGGCACACCCAACAAAUCUCCACUUUGACACGUAUUUAUCACGUCUCCUUUUCCAUGCCCUAUCACAGGCCUAACUCGAAUUUGGAAAAAUAUCAAACAAGCUCAAGUAGUCUCGAACUUGUAAAUUGAAUGACUCAUAGUCUUCAAAUCAAAGUUGUAUAACACAACAAGGGACAAUUACACUUGAAUAGAAGAAAAAAGCAUCAACUCUCUUCACCUGACUAUAACCUUCUGCGACCAACCUUGCCUUAAACAUUCAGUGAACCAUUCAAGUCCAAAAGACCAAAAGGAGGUUAGGUUCUUCUCUAAAUCAGGAACAUGCCUGACAUCUGACACAACUCCACCUUCAACCAGAUUAUAUGGAGAGCAACGAAUCAUUACCCUUGUCCUCAGCCAUAUUAGCUAUCUCCGUAAUUAUCCGGAAUUGCCAGAAACUAAAAUUUGUGAUCUGUCAAACUUCUCGAUAUCCAAAAUCAUUGUUGCGUCACCGAACGAGUCGAUCUGCAGAAGUUAAACCUUGGUUCUGAUACCAAUUUGUUGGGGAUCGACCUAUAUAAACAACGAGCUAGUAAAUGUAGAGAAGAUCAAACACAUAUAUUUUACAUGGAAAACCCUCCGAAGAGGAUAAAAAAAACCACGAGUAAAGGAGGCUUCGACUUUUUACUAAAUUAGUAAACAAACGAGAGUAUAAUAUAGAGAAAAUAAACCUAAAAGUAUUAAAUGUACAAUCCCAAACCUCAAAAACAAAGUCCUAAUUCAGGAACAAAUUUCUCUCCAUAGUUACCAUGGAACUCUCACCAAAACUCAUAUAUGACUACAUCUUGUCGCCCUCAAGAAAAACCCUUGCUGAUUGGUAUCUCAAAACAUGGAUACAAUAACCCUUUUAAAUAUGCUAAGAUUAGAGUUCUAAUCAUACUAAAAUAUCCAUAGAAUAAUCAGAGUCCAACUAGGAGAAGUAGUCUUGCUUGAAGUCUAAAAUGCGACUGCCAAAUAAGAGAAAACAUCGUGAUGUGGCAUAUUGCCUGGUCGCGACACUGUCUCUGCUUUGUCGUUUCAACGUUGUCACGCCGUCCCGACGUCCCAGUGCUCCUCUUCGUGACGUUAAGUCUAUUUUGCGCCUUCUUUGAUUGCUCAUCAAAACGUCUUUCUAAGUGCCUGCAAAACAUCUGAUAAAUGCGAGGCACAUCCCAUAGUUUCUUAUAGGCUUUCACUACAAGUAAGAGGAAAAUCCACUUUGUUAACUAGGAUACUAUGUGUAAGCUGAAGGAGAUAUGGGGUUUAGAUCCAUGUGUGACUAGAAUUUAAUUCUUUGUGCAAAACUUGGAUGGAGAUUAUUGACUAAAAAAGAUAAAUUAUGGGCAAGUAUUAUAUGGUAAAUACCUUAACAAUACCAACUUACUCGAUGCUCCAAGAAAUGGUGGUAGUGAAGAUGGUUAGAGAAGUAUCCUUGCAGGCAAAUAUAUCCUUGAUAAAGGGUUAUGUUGGAGGGUGGGCGAUGUAAGUCUAAUUAGAUUACAAACUAACAACUGGAUGUCUGAUAGAAAUAUAGUUCAUAAAUGCAUCCAAAAUCCUUCACAGGAGUAGUUGCAAUUGUUCAGUAAGGAGUAUAGGGAGCAGGAGGUUGAAACUAUUAGGCUUUAUCACCUUUUUUUCUAGAGGAAAUUAUUGGAAAAAAGAACAUGGUAUUUCCUUUCUUGAUGAAUUACUGUGCUAAUGAUGAAUUUAUUUUGGGGGAAACUUCUAAUGGCAUCUUUUUAAUUAAGUCAGCUUAUGAGAUUCAAGUGAAUAGAAAAAGAUUUGCUUAGCUUGAUGGCAAAGCUAAUAUGGAAAGUUCUUUAACAUUCGAAGAUCCAAACUUCUAUUUGGUUAACUUGGAAAAGUAGAAUUACGAGUAAUUCAAAUAGAAAGAUAAGGUAACUUAUCAUGAUUGAUUCGUGGGAAAAUAUUGUGUGAUCUAUUUUUUCCUUAAAUUAUGGAACAUUAACUAUGCUUAAUUUGAGUAGUAUUGAUGGCAUAGAUUGAAGUACAUAAUUUUUAUAUACUUAGGUUGAAGUUUCAUCAUGCACAAUUGUUAUGUGUAGAUCUUCAAUUCCACUAUAUACUAUUGCUAUGUGUUAAUUUUAGUUUAAUAUGUUUAUAUUUUUUAUUGAUUUUGAUUAUGCUUUAUUAUGGAUAUAUUUAUAAACUCUAAAAUAACUAUACCCAAUUUAGUUUAUAAAAAAACAAAGCUGAAAUUGGGAAAUAAAAAUACAAGAUAAAUUUCAUUUUGAGGAUGGUACAACUUUUGCUUUAUUACCUUAUUUUUGUUUGAUUAGUUGUCUUUAUUUUGGGCAUAAUUUCUUUGCUUUUUUUUUUUUUUCAAAUUUAUAAACCCAAUAAUUGUGGGAUCAAUCAUAAAAAUUCACCAUGGAUCUCAAUCCAAUUCACUUUAAGUAAAAAUCCAAUUAUUUAUUAAUAAAAAGAAACCUAUUCACUUUAACAUAAUUCACUCCAAUUAUUAAUAAUAAUAAAAACGAAUAGACCAAAAUGACAUGACAAUAUACAAUAAUUUUCUGGAUGAUGAGUAAAACAAAGUUUUUAUAUAUAUUUCGAAACAUUGAAACGUUAAAUUAAUGGUGAAAAUUAUUUUUUAUGGACAAAUUAUAAAAAAAGUUACUCAAUUAUACCUUUCGUUUUAUUUUGGCCACCUAAUUAUUAAUUUUUUCGAUUUAAUCACUAAAUUUUUCGAAAUUAAAUAUUUUAAUUGCUUUGAGUUGAUGUGGGCUUUUCUUUAUUAGUCUAGUAACAAAUUUAACCCUCUAAUGUUUACAUAUUCUAUCAAAUUGAUCCUAAAUAUAAAAACUUCAAUAAAUUUAGUCCUCAAUGUUUACAAAUUUUGUCAUUUUAGUUGUAAUUCUAAAAAAAUUCAAUAAAUUUGGCCCUUAGUAUUUACAAAAUUUUUCAAUUUAGUCCUAACUCUAAAAUUUAAAAAAAUAUUUAAAAAUGUUUUCAUUUUUAGUCCUUUAUAACCCAACUCACCCAUGUGAGAUAUUAAAAUAAGAAAAGAAAAACCCCUUUUUCAAGUCACUUGCAACAAUUUCUUAUACUAUAAUUUAGGCUUCACAUUGGACCAAACCAAUUGAUUUGGAACCUAUCUAGAAUAACUGGUUGCAUUACUACUCAAAUAGGUAACGUUUUUAAUGCCAUUGUUUUUUGUCGGAUCUUAAAUUUUUGUGUUUUGUCCCAACUUUUUAGAGUUAUUUUGUAAGUGACUUGAAAGAGGGUACUCUUUUUCUUAUUUUAAUAUCUCACAUGGAUUAGUCAAUAGGUUAUAAAAGGCUAAAAAUGAUUUUUUAAAAAUUUCUUUUUUAAUUUUUAGAGUUAGGACUAAAUUGACAGGUUUUGUAAAUGUUAAUGGCCAAAAUUAUUGAAUUUUUAAAAAAUUAGAACUAAAAUGAUAAAUUUUGUAAACGUUGAGGGUUAAAUUUGUUGAAUUUUUUAUAUUCAGGAUCAAAUUGAUAGAAUUUGUAAAUAUUAGAAGGCUAAAUUUGUUAUUAAACUAAUAAAAAAGAGCUCACAUCGGCCUAAUGUAACUAAAAUAUUUAAUUUCGAAAAGUUUAAUGACUAAAUCAAAAAAAUUAAUAGUUGAUGACUAUUUUUAUAGUUUACUCAUAAAAAAAUAAUUUUCCGUAUGAAUUUGACAUUCCAAAUCCAUUUAACAAAUAAAUUUUAAUAGAAGGACUAAUUGACACGUUUCAAAAUGUAUAAAGAUUAAUUACUCAAUUUUUCGGUAAAAGGGCCGAAAUACAAUCCAGACAUAAAUACAAGAACUACCCUAGUACUUUCACUCAUCAUCCCAACAAUUAUUCAGAAAGAGGUGAAGGAAUCAUGGCGUAUGAAUAAGAAGAAUAAAACAACAUGAGGAAUAGUUAAAAACUUUAGAAAAUUGUAGAAAUUGCUGCUGUUGGGAGGAGAAUAGGGAUGGGAUGGGAUGGGAUGGGAUGGCAGUGAAUCAUGUGUUCCUAAUCUAUGUAAAAUUUGAGUUUAUUUAUUAUUAUUCAUAUUACAUUAAAUUAAAAAUACAAAAGAUUCAUAUAAUGAAUAUUUGAAUAUCACAAAUGUCUGAAUUGACCUUAUCUAUCGUCAUUCUUAGCUGAGUAAGAAGAAAUAUGAUCUUGAAUGGAAAAAUGUUACUUGUUUGACUAUCGGAGCCAGCGCAAUUUCCGAGAGUCAUUUCCAAAAACAGGAAAAGUUUUUGACAAUGGAGGGGUGAUGAUGAGUCAGCAAUGGAAGUGGAUAAAGCCCCGUUAGUGAUGGGACGAAACCAAGUAAGAACACGUGGCCUGAUGGGAGAGGUGGGCCCGAGGAAGCGACGAAACAUCGCCGUUUGAAAGGUGCCCCAGACAUUUUGCAACUAUUUAUCGGUUGUGAUGGAUAUUUGAAAACACAACAACGUGUUUGCCUUCCCCCUUUUACACUCCCCCACUCUUUCCUCUCCUCUUUACUUCCCCCUUCACAUAUAUCUUCCUUUUCAUCUUCUUCCUCUUUCUUUUUCUUCAAAUACUGCCCUCUAAUUUUCUCUACUUCUUGUUAAAAAGAAAGGUGUUUUGGGAGUGUUUAAUUAUUGAAACAAAAUGUGUGGGAUUUUAGCUGUUUUGGGUUGUUCUGAUGAUUCUCAGGCAAAAAGGGUUCGAGUGCUGGAACUUUCCCGCAGGCAAUUCAUCUUUCUUUUUUCUUUUUUGCUAAUUUUGAUGUUUGUGUCUUUAAAAUGGUUGCAUAACAUUUCUCCAAUAGGUUUAGACAAUGACAAAGUGUUUUUAUGGUUUGUUGCUGUCAAAGAUCAGCGAAAAAAAAAGACAGGGUUCGCGUGAAAUUUAACAACCUUAAAACUUGGUCUUGAAUUCUUGGUCAUCUUUAAGCUAUAUCGGGUGUUUUGAAGCAGAGAUACUCUGCAACUUGAGAACGAUAUAAAGGGACAUAAGCAAAAAAAAGUGGCAGAGUCCAUGUUUCAAGAUGCUAGUUCAAGCAGCUCAUGAACAUAAAAGACUAAUAAAUUGAAUUGAAUUUAUUGGUUAAUGAGUUAGUGAUUGUCCACGUUGAUGAUGGUUUACCAACAGGCUCAAGCACCGUGGUCCUGACUGGAGUGGCCUCUACCAACAUGGAGACUGUUAUUUGGCCCAUCAACGCCUCGCCAUCAUUGAUCCUGCUUCUGGUGACCAACCUCUCUUUAAUGAAGACAAGUCUGUUGUUGUCACUGUAAGUCUCUCUCUCUUUGCUUCUUUUUAUUUAAUAUUUCUCCAGUUCCACCCUAUGGCCACUCAUUUAACUUUUUCAACACUUGAGGACUGCCUAAUUGGUCAAUUCUGUGCUGAAAACUAGGUGAAUGGAGAGAUUUACAACCAUGAAGAACUGAGGAAGAAGUUGGCCAACCACAAGUUCAGGACUGGCAGUGACUGUGAUGUUAUUGCCCAUCUGGUGAGUCUCCAUGGAUAGAGCUAAUUUUUUUGGUCUGAAGUUUCUAUUUUGUUUUGUGAAUGAUUGCCUAAUAAGUACUUGACCUAUAUGAUAGUAUGAGGAGUAUGGUGAAGACUUUGUGGAUAUGUUGGAUGGAAUCUUCUCAUUUGUGCUGCUGGAUACCCGUGACAACAGCUUCAUCGUUGCACGCGAUGCUAUCGGUGUCACCUCCCUCUAUAUUGGCUGGGGACUUGAUGGUAUUAAAUCUAGGUUUUUUUUUCUCAGUUGCAAGUAAUUUGGGUUGAAACUGGUUUUUGCUAAUUUAAUUUCUACUUCUUAUAACCAGGUUCGGUUUGGAUAUCGUCGGAAUUGAAAGGGUUGAAUGAUGACUGUGAACACUUUGAAAGCUUUCCCCCUGGUCACUUGUACUCUAGCAAAUCAGGAGGAUUUAGAAGGUGGUACAAUCCACCUUGGUUCUCUGAGGCCAUUCCAUCGGUUCCAUAUGAUCCCCUAGUACUUAGACGUGCCUUUGAAAAUGUAAAACUGAUUACUUGCCGCCCAAGAAGCACUUUAUGCUUUUGGACUAAAGAAAUAAAUAUAUUUUUUCUGUAGUUUUGGCUUACGGGUUGUAUCAAAUAUGUUUACUGGCGGUGACCAAAAGACUGAUGACUGAUGUGCCUUUCGGAGUUUUGCUAUCUGGAGGACUUGAUUCAUCAUUGGUUGCUUCUAUCACUGCUCGGUAUUUAGCUGGUACCAAGGCUGCCAAACAUUGGGGAGCUCAGCUCCAUUAUUUCUGCGUUGGCCUAGAGGUAAGUUGUAAAGUAUAAGGAUGAACCCUUAAAGCUCUAGAGGAUUUGAAUGAUUCUUAAAACUUGAUUGUCAAUUUCUCUGCAGGGUUCACCAGAUUUGAAGGCAGCAAGGGAGGUUGCAGACUAUCUGGGAACAGUCCAUCAUGAAUUUCAUUUCACUGUUCAAGUAUUGACUCGACAUUUUUGUAGCAGUUUCUAUUCAAGAAUUUAGGGUUUAAUAAACCUGUAACAAGCUAGACUGCUCUCUAAUGUGGCAGGACGGAAUCGAUGCCAUUGAAGAUGUCAUCUACCACAUCGAAACAUAUGAUGUCACCACGAUCAGGGCAAGCACUCCUAUGUUCCUGAUGUCAAGAAAGAUCAAGUCACUAGGUGUGAAGAUGGUUAUUUCUGGUGAAGGCUCCGAUGAGAUAUUUGGUGGAUACCUGUACUUCCACAAGGCACCAAAUAAGGAUGAAUUCCACCGGGAGACAUGCCGCAAGGUAAUAGAUCAUCUUAUUCAGCACUUCACUUAUGAGUAGGGGAGUUGGAACAUAAGGAUAUUAACGAAAACUGGUCUGUUCUGAUACCUUUUUAUGCAGAUCAAGGCCCUUCACCAAUAUGAUUGCCUGAGAGCUAACAAAGCAACAUCCGCAUGGGGAUUAGAGGCACGAGUCCCCUUCUUAGACAAAGAAUUUAUCAAUGUUGCCAUGUCUAUAGACCCUGAAGCGAAGAUGGUAUGUAAACAAGCAUCUUUUUUCUUAUUGUUCCUGGAAUUGCUUGGUUUAUUCAUUCAUGGUUGAGAUUUACAGACUUAUGACAAAUAGUUCUUUGUUUAUGAAUCAGAUAAAAAAUGAUGAAGGACGCAUCGAGAAGUGGGUUCUAAGAAGGGCAUUUGAUGACGAAGAACAUCCCUAUCUGCCAAAGGUCUUCUAACUUCAUUUCUUGUUUUUCAUUGUCAACUAUGAAGCUAAACUAACAUGUCCUAUAUGAUGCCCUGCAGCAUAUCCUCUACAGACAAAAAGAACAGUUCAGUGAUGGUGUUGGUUAUAGUUGGAUCGAUGGUCUCAAAGCCCAUACUGCCCGACAUGUAAAAUAUCUUUCUUAAGUGGGUUCUGUUAUAUGCGUUUGCUUAGUUUAUUGUUUAUAAUUUAACAAUUACAAUCUUUCAGGUGACCGAUAAGAUGAUGUCCAAUGCUUCAUUCAUAUUUCCUCACAACACACCAACUACAAAAGAAGCAUAUUACUACAGAAUGAUUUUCGAGAGGUUCUUCCCUCAGGUGAUUUUCUGAAUCUCGUAGUUUGAAUACGUUUACACUUCUAACUUUUUGUCAGCAGCAUUAAUUGCUAAAGUGACCAUCUUCCUUUGCUUGGUUUACCAGAACUCAGCUAGAUUGACUGUCCCUGGAGGAGCUAGUGUGGCAUGCAGAUCUGCUAAAGCUGUUGAGUGGGACACUGCCUGGAAAUACAACCUCGACCCUUCAGGCCGGGCUGAUUUGGGGGUUCAUCUCUCUGCUUACGACGCAGAGACUCCUCUCAGCAACAAGCCAUCCAAGGUUAUUGAUGGUAUACCACGGAUGAUGGCCUUUCCUGGAGUUGCCAUACAGAGUUAAUGCCUGCCUACUGGAAGACAACAGAAUGUAUGAAUUAUUUAAUAAAAUGAGUAGGAUCAAACUUCCGAAUGUGUUGGUGUAUAAUAUAGGCGAUGUUUACGAGUACUAAGAGAUACAGUGAUCGUCGGAUCAUCUUUGGUUGUCAUCAACCUGUUGUUUCUUUAAGCUAAGUGUGCAUUCAAUAUUUUUGUAGUGGAAGUUAAUUAUGAAUGAGAAUCUUCCCUUUUUUUGGUUUAAUGUGCAAAAAGCUUAAGUUCUUCCACUUUACAAAAAUCUUGCCCUCAAAAGGACUGUAAUGUUAGAUAACUUGGAACUAGGCAGUAAUUUGAGAUGAAACAUGUUGUCUUCUAGUUUAAUCGAGCAUUGAAUCAGUCUAAAUCUUGAAGAUAAUAUCAUAUUUGACUUGAAAGAACUAUAUAAUUAUAUCAUUUAUUAAGACACAAUAUUAGUACGGUAAAGUGCAGUUUCUGCACCCUCUGCAAGCCUAUAAUCAAAAUUAGUAACUAAUUAUAAAAUGAAUUAAAAGCACAUACAACUUAGUAGAACAAGACAGUAUAAAAGAGUUGAUUCCAAGUAUCAGGCAAUCCAAGGAGGCACCAAUCGCUACAUGAUAAGCUGUAAAAGGAACAUAUUUUAAUCUUAUUUUUAAUGCCUUUUUGAAUGAUUAAUGAUGUAAAUUAGUGAAUAUGAUGCUCCUAAUCCUUUACAUUCAUGUUUCUAUACUUAGAAUAGCUUUUGGGAGCGAAAGUGUAACACCCUAAACUCGGUCUAGACAUUAUGGCCGAAUCUAGUAAUGUUACGAAGAAGGGUUUUAAGAAUAAUGUCAUUUCGUCCAAGCUUUGUAAAGUGGUUCGAUAAAUCAUCCAAGUUUUAUGACUAUUAUUAAAAAUGUUAUUUAAUUAAACCAUUUGCCAAAACAUUGUUUACAACGGAAGUUUCAGAAACCGUUUAUAUUUUAGAAAUUCAGUUCGUAUUUUUGGAAAAACCUUUGUUUUCAUAAAACCGUGAUUUUAGUCAAAUGUCGUAAAUAAGGUUAAAGCACAUCCAAAACCAGAAUAAAAAUCUAACAGUCUAGAGAGUCCAAAAAUUACAAAACUCUCAGAAAAAUAAUACUUAAAAUAAAUAAAACCAAUAUUAAAAACAGUUCACAUCUUGUGGUCACCAUGAGGCUCCAUCGCACCGAUCAGCCUAAGUCUGUGGAUUGCCUGAACAGAACAGACAAACAAAAGUGAGUUUUCAUAAACUCAUGUGUAACCCAACAGAAAAAGACAUGCAAUACAUACAGAAAUCUCAAAUACAGUCAGAUACAGAAUCAAACUUAGGUCCAUUUCAGAUAAAGAUAAGAGAAUCAGAUAAAUAGGUCAGAUAUACAGAAUCCUACCUCUAUCCUCUACAGACCAACUUCGACCAUCCCAUCACACCAUGUAAGGUUAAAAACACCCACCCAUCCUUAUACACCAUGUAGUGCUGAUACGACACAUCAUAGAUAAUAUGCAGCCGAGUUGCCAGAAUAUAAGCGAAAGGUCACCGUACAAAUCACUUUCUCCACAUAUACAAUUCCCACCUCAAACAUAUAUACAGAAUGCAAAUACAAAAAUAUCAUGCUUAACAUGCUAGUAUAAAGAUAACAUAUAUAUUUAACAGAAUAAUCAAACAUGCAUAACGGUGUCCUUCUCAGAGCAGAUUAUCAAAAUAUCAGAUCACAUAACUUAGGGUUUGGUUAGCCCUUAUCGACCCUACGAUAGACCCACAGUUGAUUGAAACAACCCGUGCGACCCUAGGGAAAAUUUUAGAAUUAUAGACUCACAUGUCCGUGUGGCUCGCCGUGUAGCCUACACGGCCUGGCCCAAUACCCAUACCCCCAAUAUAGCCUAGCCCGUGUGUCCCACACGGCCAUAUUCACGCCAUCACACGGUUGUGCACUACGCACGGCCGUGCUUUAGUUAGACACACGGCCGUGUCUCGCACGCGGCCAACUACACGGCCAGGCACACGCCCGUGUGACGUCGACAGAAAGCUUUUUCAGCUUUUGUCGAAACCCAAUUUUUUGCGUUUUAGGAACACACCUGGUAUGGUUUUGAUGCUAAACCACUCCCGAGCCAACCUGCACCUAAAAUCGAUACAACACAACUUCUAAAAUCAGUCUAAACUUACAAUUCAACCAAACUAACGGAACUGAUAACGGUAAAACUCAAGUGUACAACGCUUACCCAAAUUCCUGAACGACUCUGACUAUGAUUCUGCGAGAAGAGAGUCUCGUUCUUCACGAUUCGCUGCUACCAAAAACAUAAUUUCAAUACCAACGGAAAACAACAUCGUUCAAAAUAGAUUUAAAGGAAAAAUCUUUCUAACUCGAGCAAAGCAUUCUAUCACCACUUACCAACUCACAAGAACACCGAAAAGUCGAAAUACCGAAAUUGAGCAAUUAAAUUGACAGCAAAAAGAAAAACGUAGAGAAAAGAGGAAAACCAACGUCAAAAUUUUAAAAGAAAGAAAGAGAACCGAAAUUUUUUUGAAAAAUAAAAAUAAAAUUAGAUAACCCCCAAAAUCCAAACUCCCCAUUAUCAUCUCAACCACAACUACUUACUCACUCAGACUCUCAAUCCCAUCCAAACUCUCUCCGCCAACAGAAGCAAAAAUUAAUACCCACGCUCACAUAGGAAUUUGAACACAAGACCUCCAAGACACCAACUCCUUACCCAUCGAUCCAGCAAGCUCAUUCUAAUAUGGAUUAACAAACAAUUCUAUAUAAACCCACACAACAAGGAUAAGGCUAGGAUUAGAAAAAUAACAAAAUUGCCAGAAGUGAGACUUGAACCCAAGACCUCACACACACAUCCAAAACACUUAACUACUGAAGUAGAUACACAUUUAUGUUAGGUACUUAUAGAAACAUAAGUAAAUUAUUCAGGACGUUACAGAAAGGAGCAAAAAAGGAGCCAAAAUCAGACGAAUAGAGUUGUUUCUAGAAUCCACACAGCCUAAAUAUUUCUACACAGGCUGGCCAAACGCCCGUGUGAGCCACACGGGCUGGCCACACGCCCGUGUGAGCCACACGGGCUGGCCACACGCCCGUGUGCCAGCCCGUGCAAAUAUCGCACCCUGCUUCCCAAAUAUGCUGAAAAACCUAAUUUUUAGGCUUUCUGAGCAUUCUGAAGUCUAUAAAUACCAAUUAAAAGAAGACCUAGGGGGCACUCAGAGAAGAUAAAAAAAAUACUCGAAGAACGCCAUUGAAAUAAACUCGGAAGCGGAUUUCCCUCAAGAUCGAAGAUCUCCAUUUAAUUUCUUUCGAAGUUUUAUUGAGUUUCUUUUUGUCUUAUGGUUAUCCUAACUUUGAGAUGUUUCUAUUCAGGAUUAUGAACUAAAUUCUCUAGAUACCUAGGGAGGAUGAAACCUAUGAUGAACCUUAUUGUUUAAUUUAUGUUUUUACGAAAUAAAUACUUGAUUCUUGUUCUCAAUUAUGUAUGCUUAUUUUGUAUUUUAAUAUUUUUAGGAUAUUAAUUCAUGUUUAAUAUGCUUAUUUCAGUAGAGCAAAAGUUCAUGUUUAAGAGUAGAUCUAGCGUAAUUGAUUGGAGUUGCAUGCAAUCCUAGAAAUAGGACAACAUAAAUCUAUCGGAUUAGAGUCAAAUCUAAUAAGGGAAUCCAUAGAUUGAGUUAAUGUGAUGAUAGGGGUUUUAAUUAGAAAGAGAUUUCAAAAAAUCAACCUAGAUUCAGUUGUUCUUACUCUCGAAAGAGAUAUUAACAUAAUUUAGAGAUUUCUAUAGAUCAAGACACAAGUGAAUAAAUCGUUUAAUUUAGAUAUAGAGUAAUAGGUGAAGUCUAGGUGAACUCUUUCCAGGGUAUUGUCUAUCUCAUUGGUUAUCUUUGAUUAUUUUCCUAUUCCAUUUCUGUUGUGUUCUUAGUUAAAUUAGAUUAGUAAAUUUAGAUUAAAAACAAUCACUCCAAUUUGUCAGCUAAAUAAUAGAAAAACGUUAAUUACUAGUACUUUUAGUCCUUGUGGAUACGAUAUUCCCUACUCACCAUAACUAUACUAUUGUUCGAUAGGUGCACUUGCCAUAGUCGUAUUUAUAGUUAGUUUAGUGACCAUCAAGUUUUUGGUGCCGUUGCCGGGGACUAAAAUAGUAUGAACACUUGAUUUUUAUUAAUUCAAACAUUUUUAUUUUUGUUUUUAUUUUUAUUUUUAUUUUUUGCAUUCUAAUUUUUCUUUUCUUUUAUUUGCUUCUGGUAAGUUCUUUUAGUUUAUGACUAGAAGAGACCCGUUGGGACCAUUAUUAAUUGACAGUGAGAUUGAAAGUACAGCUCGCAGAAAUCAUAGAGAAGCAAGGCAGAGUCGAUAGAGUAUAGUAGACGAGCAAGAGGACAUUAUUAUUAUUACUGAGGAGAUGGGUGAUAAUCAAAAUAAUCAGCUACCUCCUGCAGUUGCUGCAAAUCCAAAUCAUGUUCAUCAUACUAUGUACAAUUAUGCCAAGCCCACUCUAAUUGGGGAUGAAUCGAGUAUUGUGAGACCCACCAUUACUGCGAAUAAUUUUGAACUAAAGCCGAACACUAUUUAGAUGGUACAAUAAUUCGUUCAAUUCGAUGGUUUGCAAGACGAAAAUCUAAAUACUCAUUUGGCUAAUUUUCUGGAAGUCUGCGAUACUUUCAAGAUAAAUGGCGUUUUUGACGACGCCAUUCGCCUACGGUUAUUUCCUUUCUCAUUGAGGAACAAAACUAAAAAGUGGUUGAAUUUUUUACCACGAGGCUCUAUCACUACAUUGGAUUAAAUGAUCGAGAAAUUCCUACCGAAGUACUUUCUACCGGCUAAGACAGCUAAGUUGAGGAAUGAUAUCUCUUCCUUCGUUCAGAUUGACUUAAAGACCCUAUAUGAUGCAUGAGAGAGGUAUAAGGACUUAUUGAGAUGCGCCCUCACCAUGGGUUACCCCUAUGGCUUCAGGUUCAAACCUUCUACAACGGUUUGAAUCCCUCAACUAAGCAGUUAAUCGAUGCAGCAGCCGGUGGUACUCUGAACAAUAAAGCACCUGAAGUGACUUAUGAGUUUAUAGAGGAGAUGUCACUGAAUAAUUAUUAGUGGCAAGUCAUAAGGAGGGUUUUUUUACAGAAAUAGAUUAAAAAAAAUUAAUACUGAAAUAGGUUAUCAGAUAGAUAAUUUACGAAAAUGGCUUUUUUUUAAUGGAGCCUAUCUGACAGGCGCCAAUGAAUAUUUUAUAUUAAUUUUUUUGUUUGAACAAAAUAUUAUUUUUUUAUUUUUAUUAAAAAUAUUUAAAUAUAAAUAUGGGUCAAAAUACGGUCAACGAGUCAAAGUACGGAUAGAAAAUGAGUUUUCGGGUGGCACAUGUCAGAUAGGCGCCACUAAUUGGGCCUCAUAGGGAGGCGCCAAUAACCAUGGCAACAUUGCUGCCUACUGCCUAUCGCUGCAACACCAGCAUGGUGUUGUCCCUUCAACACUACCAUUUUGUGGCCUAUAAGUAUGGUCCCAAUAUGGUCCCCAAACCCCUUGCAUGAACGGUAGAGAGAAAGGAGAAGAAGAAGAAGAAAGAAACAAAGAAAGAAAGAAAGAAAGAAAAAAGGUAAUGUAUUAUUUUAGUAAAUAAUUUUGUUUAUAAUUUAAAGAGUUUAAUUAAGAUAUUGUGAUUUUUUUGUUAUUAAUUAUUAAUUAUAAAUUAUUUAUGUUUAGUGUUUAUAGUUUUGGAUUAGUAUUUUGUAUGAAUAUUGUAAUUUUUUUCUUUUUAUAAUUAUUUUAAAAUUAAUUUAUUAGUAAUUUAGGAUUAUGUUAUAAAUUUGUGUUUGUAAUUAUUUUAAAAUUAAUUUAUUAGUAAUUUAGGAUUAAGUUAUAAAUUAUUGUGUUUAGUUUAGUAUUUGGUGAGUUUAACAUAUAAGUUUAUAAAAAAAUUAAAAAUCAUUUUAUUAAAAGUUUAAUUAUAACUGACUCUUUUAAUCAUAUAGUUGUUGUUAACUCAUUUAAAUUUUAUAUAAUAUGAACAUAGUUGCUGUUAAGUCAUUUAUUUUUUUUAUAUCAACUUGGGGUCUUUUACCCCAAUAUAUUAAAGAAAAUUAAAUACCGAAAUAGGUUUCAGAUAGAUUAAUUAUCGAAAUGGUUUGUUUUUUGUAAUCGUGCCUAUCUGACUAGCGCGAAUCAAUUUUAAAAAAAAAUUUAAUCGCGCCUAUCUGACAGACGCGAAAAAAUAUUUGUUUUAAUCGCGCCUAUCUAACAGGCACGAAUCAAUUUUUUAUAUUAAAAAUAUUUUUUGUUUAAAUAAAAUAUUAAUUUUUUAUUUUUAUUAAAAAUAUUCAAAUAUAUAUAUAUACAGGUAAAAAUACGGUCAACGGGUAAAAAAUGGGUCGCGCCUGUCAGAUAGGAUUAAGUUAUAAAUUGUUGUGUUUAGUUUAGUAUUUGGUGAGUUUAACAUAUAAGUUUAUAAAAAAAUUAAAAAUCAUUUCAUUAAAAGUUUAAUUAUAACUGACUCUUUUAAUCAUAUAGUUGAUGUUAACUCAUUUAAUUUUUAUAUAAUGUAAUUUUUAAAUAAUGUAAUUUUAUUUGAUUUUUUGAAACAAAUUAAAUGAAUUCAUUUUUUUAAUUACAGAUUUAUAGGCAAUGGGUUCUUUGAUUAAUAAUAAUAAUCACAUAUCAAGUACUAUUAAUGAGAUGGUAAUAAAAUUUUUAUUUGAUACUCAUAUUAUUUGCUGAAUUAAAUUAUAUUGUAUUAACUAUUUUGCUAAUUUAAUAAUGUCAGGGCCCAUACGGCGUAUUGAGGGGCCGUGUUAAUAGUGUAGGGUUUCUGUCAGAUGAACGCCUAAUACCAUACUUAGAGUUAGCCGGGUUCGGAUCAGCAGCAUUGAUCCAGACUUUUGAUCUGCGAUACGACUUGAUUUCCGCUUUAGUCGAGUGAUGGCAUCCGGAGACCCACACAUUUCAUUUGCCGUGCGGAGAGUGUACCGUCACUCUAGAGGAUGUUGCACUACAGCUCGGGCUUCCCAUCGACGGGAAUGCGGUCAUGGGCGUAAGUUCAAUCUCUAGGCCGACUACCCUUUGCUUUGAAUUACUUGGACGCUCGCCAAGUGGGGAAAUUUACCAGUUUGAGAUUUUCAUGGCUAAAGGCCAAAUUUGAGCAUUUGCCGAGUACUGCCAAUGAAUGGGAGGUGAUGCAGGCCGUUCGAGCUUACAUUAUGCACAUUAUAGGGGGUGUACUCAUGCCGGAUGCAAACGGAAGUAAGGUCCACUUGAUGUACUUACCCCUAUUAUCCAAUUUGCAUAACACUCGUUCAUACAGUUGGGGGUCCACAGUUUUAGCCAUGCUGUAUUGCGAACUUUGUCGGACGACAGAUCCUUCUGUGAUGGACAUAGACGGAUGCCUCAUACUACUGCAGUCGUGGGCACUUUACCGGAUGCCAUUCUUGGCAUCCAUUAGUCACCAAUCAUAUAUAUUUCCACUCGUUAAUAGGUGAUGAAUUUUUACUCGUUAUAAUAAUUAGUUGACUUUUUUUUAGAUUAUAUUAUUCUAACAAUUUGUUUUCGUAGAUGGAAUACUAAUUUGGGUGUUGAGAGGUCAUACACGGUUCCGAUAUACCGUCUAAUGAUUGAGAAUCAUGCUGGAGAGGGGGUAAGUUUUCCAAUAUAAACUUAAUUUUAUUAUUUUAUCUCACUCGACCCGCGUAAAUAUAACAAUGUUAUUAACUGUGUAGUUCAUUUGGAUGCCGUAUUCUGUUCCAGAAAUUAUGGCAGUUAUCCCCUUAUCUGCCCAUGUCCACUCAAACCUAUGGUGCAUUAGCGCACUCCUUAUCAAUUUUCAGGUAGUGGAGUGGUAUCAUGGCAAUCGAGUACUCCUGCAGUUCGGUUGCAUACAGUAUAUCCCGACACUGCCAGUACAAUUGGGGGAGAUCCAUGGGAUGAACAAGAGGGGAAGGUAUGGAGAUAAUUUGGGAGAAGUGCAUGAAGAAUAUAUUAAGAUGUGGAACAACCGGUUGGGGAGGGUACCUCAGAUGGAUCGUGCUUUGGAUCUGCAGCCCUCAUUAGAGUACAUACAGUGGUACUGUGAGAUAAGGAAACCAUUUCUAUUUGGUGGGCAGUCGAUGGUAGUCCUUUCGCAUACGACACAAAUUAGGCAACCCCUUCUAGAUCCGCAUCAUGCACCAGACCCAGAGCCAGAGCCGGAGCUAAAGCUAGAGCCGGAGCCGGAGGCUAAGACGAAACUAUAUUCUAGGGAUAAUUCUUAUCAUCCAGAUUUAGGGGGCGAUGACUAUUUCGCGAGCUCGUACGAAUGAGGAGAACGUUGAUCAUCGUAAUCACCCGCAACGUGAACGUCGAGCUACACAAAAAUAUACCCCUAGAACCACACCGUCAAACCAUCAAUUUUAGGGGGUUUUGUAAUAUAAACAACUUCAUAUUUAUGUAAUGAAUUUUGUUGACAUUUUAUUUAUCAAUUUUAAUUUUUUUGCCUUUUAAUUUUAUUUAUCAAUUUAAUUUUAUUUAUCAAUUUAAUUUAUGUUGCCUUUGCAAUUUAAAUAGUCAACUAUGUAUUUAUAUAAUGACUUUUUUGCCUUUUUUGUAAAUAAAAUUUUAUGGUUUUUUUUAUUUUACAAUUUCAAGUUAGAUUAACUGCAAAAAAUUGUAGACAAAUUUGUGAUUCAAUCCUCUCAACAUGUAAUGAACUACAUAUCAAUUUCUACCCGAUUGAGACGAUUGUCCAACAUGGUAGUUUCGGAACGGGCAUUUACUCCGAUUAUGACCGGCUAAUCUGCAUACGCCACACAGCUUCCCGUCAAAUUUUUCCCUCACGUCCAUUUCGUUAUGGAUUCUGGAUGAUUGCGGACAACCUUUCGGGUUCCUACGCAACCUUUUUUCUGGAAAAAGCUCAAAGGUCGUCGGAGGUACCUCCCAAGUAGAUAGGUCAGGAAGCACGGGGAACUCAUUUUUCCAUACACGCAACGUGCGUUCGAUGGUGUACACUUCAUCGAUAAAUUAUUCUACAUUGAGCCCAACUUUAGCACAAGCUACCACGACAUGUGCACAUGCAUAAUGAAGUGUUUGAAACCUCCUGCAGUCACACCGUCUGUUUCAGAGAUCAACUCCGUAGGACCUAGGUGGUAUACUGGGUCGACGACCGAUGGUCUCUGUAACUCGAAACGUUUCAUUAUGUCAUGAAUAUACUUCUACUGUCAUCGACCUCACCAUAUGACGGUUUGCAACCAUUGCAGCCCUAACAUCUUCGACAAAGAGGUGUCCCGCCUCCAUUUGGUUGACUUGUUGCUGACCCAUUUUUAGCAUCAAGGUAGCCAACCUGUAAAACGUAGUCGAGAAGACAGAUGAAAUUGGAAGAUGCCGUGUUUUUAAUAACACAGCGUUGAUCCCCUCCAUAAAUUUUGUGGUCAUUUGACCAUAACGAAAGCCCUCGUCAAAACGUCGAGCCCAUUGCCAUGGCUCCAUGGUACCCAACCACUGCCGAAAAGAUGUGUUGGUUUGACCUUCCAUGUCACUCUCAAGUCGGACCAUUCUUUGGUGUAAAAUGUGUGGCUCUAGAUCGUGCGCUGCAUAUGUAUUAAGAAAAUAUAAGUUACAGUAUUGCUCUAAAACAUUAAAACUUAUAUUGAAAAGAUAAGGUAAUUCUUUACCCAUUCUCACAACUUGUCUCUUCCAGUCUGCAUUCUUAUAAUCUCACUGGAAGUUAGCCGCGAUGUGCCGGAUAUAGUAAACAGAUCUCUAUGGUACACCGAAACGCCUAAUGGCUACAAUUAAUCAUUUCUCUCUAUCGGAGAUGAUGCAAAUAUUAUCGCUGCUAAUAACAUACCUCCGUAGGUUAGUAAGGAAGAACUCCCACGAUUCCAUGUUCUCCUUAUCGACGAUGGCAAAUGCUAUCGGGAGCACGUUCCUGUUGUCGUAUUGAGCAACUGCAAGAAGUAGGAUCUGUGUGUAUUUUCCAUAUAGCCAGGUUCUAUUUACUUGCACAAAUGGUUUGUAGUGGGGAAAUGCGCGCACACAUUGAUCAAACAUCCAGAACAUCCGAUGAAAAAUUCUUUUUCUCGAUUGUAGUUGGCCAUCCGGCCCGUAAUAAGGUCGUGUCUGCAACGCAAUGAUAGUCCCCGAUACGUGUUCCCUCAUAGCGGCUAUCCAUCCCUGUAACUCAUUGUACGAUGCAUCGAAAUCUCUGUAUAAUUACUCCAUUUCCAUCUGUUUAGCUAUCUAUGCCUUCCAGUAUGAUACUCGAUACUGGAAUCGAGCUUGUAUUUCGGUAAUCAGUACCAAAAAUUUAAUGGUCGGCAUGUCUUUCACCAUUGGCAUGAUGCACGUACAGAUAGUUUUGGAGUCAAGUUUUCGAUGAUCUUCUGUCAUACGUGUUGAAGUACAUGUGUGAGGCCCAAAAAAUUUUCGUAUCUCCCACAUCUGUGACUUUUGGAUAAAUCCAGCUCGUAUCUUCCAAUUGCAGCCUUCUGCCGACCUCCAACACUCUCCAAUAAAUAAUGCUGGUUUAGACACGAUGACUUUGUAAUCUACUGAUAUAUUCAUGCUAUACCGCUUAAUGGCAAAUAUGCCUUCUUCCUUACUUUCAAAUCUCUGGCCCAUGAACAACUCAUCUGGAUCAGAAUAUACGGCUAUUCGGUGAGCAGGUAGUAUUUCAAGUUACACCAAAAACUCGGCUGCCCACGCCGCAUCGGGGACUAUCCGAGACAUGUUUGCCCCAGGAUUAUUGUGUAUCACAAUACAACGAAUCUAGUUUCCCAUUGAAGAUGCGUUAGCGUUUCCAUCCUCAUUCACGCAUUCGUUGUCAAUAUCAUCCGGGACCUUGUCUACGUCGGGAUCAUUCUCACUAUCAACUUCGUGAACAACAAGAUCACUACUAUAGUAUACAUUAUCACCAGCCACAUCAGUCUUGGGUGCAGCAUUAAGAUCAAUAUCGAUCCCGUGUAUAGUUGAUUGACUAUCAACAUACGAUACUGGAACCACCAUACACGGCGUUUGAACUCCAUCUUCUUCACCUAAUGGAGUGGGAUCUUCAGUUGCCUCCACACCGGCUAACUCAGCAAAUAACUGAAUCGAUGUAUUUUGGUUGCUCCAAGUCCCACAAUAAAGAGCGAUCAUUGUCUCCACGUCUUCAUCGUCUACAAGUUCCAUUUCGGUAAUUUUUAUUGGAUCUGUCGAAACUGGAAACUUGUAGAAAAAUUUUGAUAUCCUUCUCCCACAACAUUUAUAAAUUUUUUCACUAAUUUUUUCCUUCAUAUCAUCAAACGAGAUAUUUUUAUUAAAUCUCAUUGCUACUUGUUUGCGACAUUCAAAUAUAUAUCCCACGGUUGUUGUCAAAAUUUCUCCAUCGAAAUAAACGCAUACAAAAAACUGAUUCUCCAUCUUCAAUACUAGAUCUGUUAAAAAAUUUUCAAAAUUCUUAAAACAGUUUCGAAAUGCAAAAAAUUACAUAAAAUUUUUAAUGCAAAAUUUUUCAUUCAGAAGCUAACAAAAUUAAUAACCUAACAAAAUAACUUUCAAAUAAUAAAAUUACUAACAAGACUCAACGUUCUAUUUAAAAAGAAAUAAACCAAAAUACCUUACACUUCUUCUUGUUGUCCUUUCUUUUUUUUCUUCUCUCUAUCUUCUUAUUUCCGUUCCUUUGCUAAAAAUUAUGUCUGUGUUUCGGGGGUAUAUAUAGGAAAAAAAUAAGACCAUUAGCAUCUCUCAACAUGGCACAACUAGUGGCACCUGUCAGAUAGGCUCCACCAUUGGCACCUUUGAGAUAGGCGCAACUACUUUGUAUUUACCAGGUCAUAUACUAACCCGGGAAUAAAAUUAAUGAUAUUUUAUUAAAAUAAAAAAAUUAAUAUAAAAUAUCAUUGACGCCUGUUAGAUAGGCGUCACUAAAAAAAUUAAUAUAAAAUAUUUAUUGGCGCCUUUCAGAUAGGCUCCAUUAAAAAAACAUAUCAUUUCCGUAAAUAAUCUAUUUGACAACCUAUUUCAGUAUUAAGUUUUUUUUUAAUCUAUUUUUGUUAAAAACCCUCAUAAGGACGAAGCCGAUGAAAGCAGCCAAUGUUUUCAAUUUAGAAGCUGUCACCAUGUUAUCAAAUCAGGUAGAACAAUUAAAUAAGAAAAUUGAUGGUUUAUAUGUUUUUAUGUAGGUACAUCCGGUGAUGCAAUGCGAUACAACUGGAGGAAGAACGAACAAUCCAGAAUGUUUACCCUAUAGUCCUAACACAGAGAACGAACAAAUCAAUUAUAUGGGUAAUAAUUAUAUGCCUCAAAAUAACCCUUAUAAUAACACCUAUAAUGCCGGUUGGAAGAACCAUCCUAAUUUCUCUUAGGGUGGUCAAGGAAAUCAGAUAGCACAACCCCCUCCAAGUUUCCAACAAUCUUACCAGCAAGAGAAGAAGUCGAACCUUGAGGAGAUGUUAACGAAGUUUAUCUCGGUGUCAGAAACUCGCUUUUAAAACACUGAAGCAACACUUAAAAAUCAACAAGCAUCGGUUCAAGGGCUCGAGAACCAAAUUGGUCAACUUGCUAAGUUAAUUUCAGAACGACCACAAGGUCGUUUGCCUAGCAAUACCGAAACUAACCCAAGGGAGCAACUUCAUGCAAUUACUGUGCGAGAUGAAGAAGGGUUAGUUGAAUCUGAACCAGAAUCGAGGCAAGAAAUUGUGGUAAGUAACGGUAAGGUUGAGGUAAGCCAAAAUGAGCAAAAGUCGGUUGCUACAGAAUAUAAAAUUUGAGUGUCAUAUCCUAACGCAAUGAAGAGAGACCACACGAACGAACAAUUUGGUAAAUUUCUUAAAAUUCUAAAAAAAUUACAUAUUAACUUACCGUUUGUUGAAGCUUUUUCGUAGAUGUCCAAUUCUGUUAAAUUUUUAAAGAAGCUUUUGGCAAACAAAAGGAAGUUAGAUGAUUCGUCGAAUGUGGAGCUAAAUGCAGUUUGCUCGGCCAUAUUGCAAAAUAAACUACCCAACAAAUUGAAAGAUCCAAGGAGUUUUCCUAUUCCUUGUUUAAUUGGUAGUUUGAAUAUUAAUAAUACUUUGGCUGAUUUAGGGGCUAGUAUUAAUGUCAUGCCCUAUAAAAUGUUUAAAAAAUUAGGUCUUGGGAAACCCAAACAAACUAGGAUGAGUAUUAUCACUCUAUUCAAAAUUUAUCACUCUAUUCAAAAUUUAUCAUUCCUAAUUUUAAAUAAGAAGUUUUUUUAAUAUUGGUUAAGGUAUUAUGUCCCAAGUUUAAUUAGGAAUGAUAAAAUUUGAAUCCUUCAAUAGAUUUCAAAUCGAUUCAUUUCGAAUAGAGUGAACUCUUUUUUAUUUAAAAAGUGAAUGCGGGGCGGGGUAGAUUUUUUUUUUUGAAUAGUGGGAUAGAGCGAUUAUGGUAAUUGCUUGUCUCGUCCCGAUCUACUUCAUUAUAUGAAAUUAUCAUUUUAUCUUUGUAUAUAUAAAUUAUUAAAAGGGUAAAAAAGUAAUAAUAUAAUAUAGAAAAAAUCAUAUAUUUUAUGUUUAAAUAUUUGCUCGACUUUAAAAAGAUUGAAAAUAUUAAAAAUAAGUAAAAAAAUUAAAUUGAAGCGGGGUGAGGCAGGGCGGGGCGGGGAUGGAUGCAUUCAUCAUCCAUAGAGGUGGUAGUGGUUUCCAAGAUUAUACAUCUUUAGUGGAGUGGGGCGGGUGUGGAGCAAAGCAUGCCAAUUGUGGAGCGGUAACGGAUUUUACAAUAUUCACCUGUGUUCCACUACAUUAUCAUCCCUAACUCCAAUUGUAUUUAUCAUCUUUACUAAAAAAAAUAGGCAAAUUAUCCAUUAUAUGCUCGAAAAAGUGCAAAUUACCCAAUUUGUUAAAAAUUUCAUCCAUUUGUGCUGUUAAGUGAUUAUUUGGUUUUUCUAGUUUUUUAAAUGUAAGGGACGUGAAAUUAAAGGAUGAGAAGGAGUAUAUAAAAGUACCAUUUGAGUCAAAUUCCUUUUUAUACCUUCUACUCAGAAAAUAAGCAAAUUAGUCCUUGUAUAUUAGAUCAAAGACAAUGAUAUGUAAUGUGUCAUGUGUACCUCAUGCUGACGUAACAUUUUGUCUCCUCGACAAAUAGUUAAAAAGUUAAAAAUCUUAAAAAAUAAAAUUUUCUAACAACCAUUUUAAAAACCAUGUCUGAACUUGGACAACUAAGUUCAUCAAAAACAUAGGUUUUUUUAAUAAUUAAAAAAUUAUAGAAAAUUAGUUAGAAAUUAUAAAUUUAUUAAAAGUUAUUAAAAACAACAUCCAAAAUAAACUUGAACAACCAUUUGUCUAGGUUCAUUUUGGAGUAUUUUUUAAAUAAUUAUUAAAAAAUAUACAACAUAUAAAAAUUAUUAAAUAUGAUUAAGAAUGAUAAGAAAUUAUAAACAAUUUUUAAAUUUUUAAAAUUAAUAAUAAAAAAUUUAUUGUGAAAGGUUUCUAUGGUAUAUAUUUGUGUAUAUAUAUUUGAAUUACAAUAAAUCAAAAAAUAUUAUGUGUCGAAACCAUUUUUUAUUUUUGGAAAAAAACAAAAAUUAGUUGUCGACUUUAAAAAAAACAAAAAUUAGGAGUCGCCACCAAUCUUUUAUUAAUGUGUGAUUGGAUCACCUAAAAAAUAGCUUUGGUCUACGAGUUUCAGAAAAACGGAAUCGGGAGUCAGUUACGUACGAGGAAGGAUUAGCACCCUCGUAACACCCAAAAAUUGGUACCAAAUUGAUUAAUUAAUGUCUUAAAGUCGAGAGUUUAAAAAAUACUAUCCUUAGUUAAAUUAAAUUAUUUAUUAAGACUUUCUCUUUUUGAAAAGAAAAAUAUCAUACCAAAUGCGUUAGGGUACAACAUUUUAUUCUCUUCAAGAUGAGUUGGUCCCAAAAACUCGUAUAAUAAAAUUUAAGAAAAUAUUUAAUUGUUUAAAAUUUAUGAAGAAAUCGUAGCCCAAUACGUUAGGGCACUAUUUCUUAAAAUCUCAAACAUUCAAUAUUUCCUUUAUAUUUAUUUUAAAAAAAUCAUUUAUCUCGAGAAAUCAACGUGUCAUAUCCAAUACGUUAGGACACAACAUAUUGAAUUCCCGAUGACAAGUUUUAUUUUGUUUGAUUAAAGAACAAUCCUCGAUUGUUAGAUUUUACGAAGAAAAUCGAAACCCAAUACGUUAGGACUCAAUUUUCUUGAAAAUCUUAAAUACGAGUAUUAUCUUUAUUUUGAAAAUUUUCCAUUUUUAAAUUCGAGUAAAAGAUAAUGUAAUGUUAUAAUGUAUGUAUAAAUAUCGUGAUAACAAAUACAAUAGUAAUAAAUACAACAAUGGCAUAGAAAUAAUAUAAACAAAUAAAUAAAAAUAAAUCAAUAACAUGGAAAGCAUCAAAUAAAUGAGCGAAAUAAAAAAAAACAUGCUUUUAAAAUAUAAAUGAAAACAUAAAUUGAUAAACAAAAGAAGGAAAUAAACAAAAAAAAUAUAAAGAGAAAAAAGGGUACAAAAUAUAUACAUGUACAUAUAUAAAAAAAUUAUAUACAUAUAUAUAUAGAUUAUAAAAAAGAUAAUUACAUAUAUAUAUAAACAAAUAAUAAUAAUUACAUAUAUUAAAAUUAAUUAAUUUAGAAAUAUAUAUAUAAAUUUUAUGAAGAAUAAUAUAAGAAAACAUACGUAUAUACAUAUUUAUCAAAGUAAAAAAAUAUAAAAGUAUAUAUAUAUGCAUAUAAAAGUUAGGAAAUAAAAAAUGUAUAUGUAUAUAAAAUGUAAAUGUAUAUAUAUGUAUAUAAAAGUUAUGCAAAUAGAAUAAUAAUAAAAUAUAUAUAAUAUGUGCAUGUGUUUAUAAAAGCUUUUUAAACAAAUGUAUGUAUAUAUAUUAUUGUAAAAAAAUAUGCGUAUGUGUAUAUAUAGUAAUAAUAAUAAUAAUGACAAUAAUAAUAACAAUAAUAAUAAGAACUUAAUAACAAGAAAAUCAAAUUUAAUAAAAAUAAAUAAAAAAUAAAAAAGACUAAAUCGAGCUUUGACAUAAAUUCUAGGCUUAAAUCCGCAAAUAAAUGAAGUCGAAAUGACUCUAUUGAACACGCCAAAGAAAAUAAAAAUGCAAGAGAAAGAGAAAUUUGAGGGAAUACUCUUAAGAAUUAUUAUUACUCCCAACUUCCCUCCCCUUACAAUGAAGGGAGAGGCCUCUAUUUAUAGUUGAGCCUCCCCAAAUCCAACGGUACAGAUAAAUUACAUCAACGGCUAAGAUUAAAGGGUAUCUACAAAUUAAAUCUCUAAGAUUACAAAAUAAUAUGUUCUAAGAUUGCAUAUCAUAUCUAAGAUUGCAUAUAUCAUAUCUAAGAUCAUAUCUAAGAUUACAUAUCCUUGAAGAUUAUGUUUCCAUAAGCUUGUAGAUGGACCUUCAACCUUUUCAAGUAAUGGGUCAUUUCGAUCGGGCCAAAUGAUAUAAUUUUGUACUGAACUUAGACUUUGUUUUAUUAUUUUGGGUUUAUUAUUUUUUUGUGAGCCCGGACUAAAAUUGGGUAUUACAGCUGCCCCUCUUUGCUCGUUGUCGUGUAAUAGGAAUGGAGAAAAGACUUUAAAAAUGGCCAAUUUUUGCCCAGUCACGCUGGAUCUUGGUGCUCUUCUUCUUCAAGCAGUCACAUUCCAUCCUACUGUAUCUUCAGAGGUAUAGGAAUUGGUGUCUCGAUCCACUCCACCGCAAUGUCGGGGAGAUAGGAUUGGUGACUCAUAACUUUUAAUCUGUUUAACUGUGAUGUGGGGGAAUUACGAUUCGCUGUUGUAGCUUCAAUCUUUUGAAUUGCAAUGUUGAGGAAACAAGAUUCACCGUCGUAGCUUCAAUCUGUUCCAUUAAACCGCUAGGGGAGUAAGAUUCGCCGUUGGAGCUUCAAUCUGCUCCACUGUAAUACCAAAGAGAUAGGAUUCGCUGCCCAUAGCUUCAAUCCGCUCCACUUCAGCUAAUCCAAGCCUUAAUGCCAAGGAGAUAAGAUUCGCCGUCGUGGCUUCAAUCUACUUCGCUAUAACGCCAAGGAAAUAAGAUUCGCCGUUGUGGCUUCAAUCUUUUCCAUUGCUACGUCAAGGCGAUAAGACUGAUGUCUUCGAUCUGCUUUACUGCCAGUACAGGAAUGCAAGAUCUGCUAUUUUCAACCUACUCCACUGCUGCUCAGGGAGAUAGGACCUACAAUCUUCAAUCUAUUCCACUGCUGCCUAGGGAGAUAGAAUUCUCAAUCUUUAACUUAUUCCACUGCUGACCAGAGAGAUAUGAUUCACAAUCUUUAACCUAUUCCACUGCUGACCAGGGAGAUAGGGUUGGGGUCAUCGAUCUGCUUCGCUGUCGGUGCAGGAAGGCAAGGUCUGCUAUUUUUAACCUGCUCCGCUGCAACCUAAGGAGGCAAGGCUGGUGUCUUCGAUCUACUUCGCUGUCGGUGUAGGAAGGCAAGAUCUACUAUUUUUAGUCUGCCCCGCUGCAACCCAGGGAGGCAAGGCUGGUGUCUUCGAUCUGCUUCGCUGUCGGUGCAGGAAGGUAAGAUCUGCUAUUUUUAGCCUGCUCCGCUGCAACCUAGGGAGGCAAGGCUGGUGUCUUUGAUCUGCUUCGCUGUCGGUGCAGGAAGGCAAGAUCUGCUAUCUUCGAUCUACUUCACACCAAUACAUGAAGAUAAGAUAUGCUUUCUUCGAUCUACUUCGUCACCAGCAUGGGAAGACAAGAUCUGCAUCUUCGAUCCACUUCCUACCAAUAUAGGAAGACAGAACCUGCUAUCUUCGAUCUACUUCACACCAAUACAUGAAUACAAGAUCUUCUUUCUUCGAUCUACUUCGCCACCAGUAUGGGAAUGCAAGAUCUGCAUCUUCGAUCCACUUCGCUACCAAUAUAGGAAGACAUGAUCUGCUAUCUUCGAUCUACUUCACGCCAAUACAUGAAGACAAGAUCUGUUUUCUUCGAUCUACUCCGCCACCAAUAUGGGAAGACAAGAUCUGCAUCUUCGAUCCACUUCCUACCAAUAUAGGAAGACAGGACCUGCUAUCUUCGAUCUACUUCACGCCAAUACAUGAAGACAAGAUCUGCUUUCUUCGAUCUACUCCGCCACCAAUAUGGGAAGACAAGAUCUGCAUCUUUGAUCCACUUUCUACCAAUAUAGGAAGACAAUACUUGCUAUCUUCACUGAUCUGCUCUCUGGGAACAUGACCUGUAUAAUGAACCUAAUUAUGCCUAAUGAUUAGGAUGGCAUAAAAUGAAUCAAAUGCUCCUAACUAGUCAUGUGUGAAUGGUGUUUGCACGAAUGCAUAAUUUUUUUUCGAGAAUGAUUCCACUUAGGUUGUCAUUGCUCGAAGUUUAUUAAGGCUUUAACACUGAUGUGCUACAACACCUUCUUGCUUGGCUGGCUUUUCUGAAGAAACAUUUAGUCAGGUUGCCCCUCACUGUAAACCUCAAAGUUUAAUCCAUUGGGGCGCAAAAUUUGUACCAUCAUUUUCCCACUGUAACCCAAAGGUAGGAAUAUAUGGCUUUUUCUCGAUCAUCUCCUAUCACAAUUCAAGGAUACAGGAUCUAAAUCUCUCUGGUCCCUUACACCAUUCCCAAGGUAUCGUACCAAAGGCUCAUGCAUAAAUGAAGGCUUUCUUCUUCGAGGAAACCUCUUCUUACUGUCUGGUGAUCAUUGCUUACUUGUUUAUUUAAGCUUUGUCAUUUUGUUCAAUCAAUGUUUUUAACAACAAAAUCCAAAGAGAAAAUCCUAAUUUAGACUCUUCCUUUUCAGAUUUCCAACCUUUAAACAUGGUGCGUUCUAAACAAUAGUUCUGUCUCAGGUUCCUGUAUUAUUUAGAAACUUCUAGAGUAAUAUGCCAAACUUCCCUUGUAAAAGUUUUAUUAGUCCAUUAAUCAUUAUUCCAAUGCAACAUGUUUGUAAAAAGGGUAUAACAAUAGAUGAGAAUACAAUUGGUUCUGAGCAUAGCUCGAAAGGAAUAGAUUAUCAAAAAUAGUAAACAAAGAAAUUGAUUGGGAAUAUGUAUCUUGGAAAAGAAUGAAGUAUUCCAAGAACAACAAAUUCAAUAGUAUAAAAAAUUGGGUGCCUAGAUAUCGCAGCUUGAGCUUCUCUGUACAAACCUUUUGGGUUUGACAUGUGUUUAGGAGAUCUAUAGUAUUCUGUCGAUGUCCCAAGAUGUUGUCUUCCCUUUCCUGUUGCUUCAAGAUCAUCAUAUGCCCCAAUCUGAUCAAAAUUUGAACUGCUCUGAUUACCUCAUGCUCCAUUCUAAUCAAUAUUUGAGCCGCCCUUUUCGGGUUUUCAACUCAAAUCCCUUUUGGUCUCAAGACGCCCUUUGCGGGUUUUCAACUUGGCCUCUCCAUUUUCUUUCUCUUUUUUUUUUUGCUCUUUUUUUAAUAUUUUGAAAUAUUUUUGAUUGAAUCUGAACUCAUAAGAUUAGACAUGUGCUUUCUAUCGUCGUUUCUCCAGAUAAGGCCUUCCACGUAAGAUCCUUCCCAGCUUGGGAUGAAGUUCUUUUUGUAUGGGAAGGAUUAGCACCCUCGUAAUGCCCAAAAAUUGAUACCAAAUUGAUUAAUUAAUGUCUUAAAGUCGAGAGUUUAAAAAAAUACUAUCCUUAGUUAAAUGAAAUUAUUUAUUAAGACUUUCUCUUUUUAAAAAGAAAAAUAUCACACCCAAUGCGUUAGGGCACAACAUUUUAUUCUCUUCAAGAUGAGUUGGUCCAAAAAACUCGUAUAAUAAAAUUUAAGAAAAUAUUUAAUUGUUUAAAAUUUAUAAAGAAAUUGUAGCCCAAUACGUUAGGGCAUGAUUUUUUAAAAUCUCAAACAUUCAAUAUUUCCUUUAUAUUUAUUUUAAAAAAAUCCUUUAUCUCGAGAAAUCAAUGUGUCAUAUCUAAUAUGUUAGGACACAACACAUUGAAUUCCCGAUGACAAGUUUUAUUUUGUUUGAUUAAAGAACAAUCCUCGAUCGUUAGAUUUUACGAAGAAAAUCGGAACCCAAUACGUUAGGGCUCAAUUUUCUUGAAAAUCUUAAAUACGAGUAUUAUCUUUAUUUUAAAAAAAUUUCAUUUUUAAAUUCGAGUAAAAGAUAAUGUAAUGUUAUAAUGUAUGUAUAAAUAUCGUGAUAACAAAUACAAUAGUAAUAAAUACAACAAUGGCAUAGAAAUAAUAUAAACAAAUAAAUAAAUAAAAAUAAAUCAAUAACAUGCAAAGCAUCAAAUAAAUGAGCGAAAUAAAAAAAACAUGCUUUUAAAAUAUAAAUGAAUACAUAAAUUGAUAAACAAAAGAAAGAAAUAAACAAAAAAAUAUAAAGAGAAAAAAGGGUACAAAAUAUAUACAUGUACAUAUAAAAAAAUUAUAUACAUAUAUAUAUAGAUUAUAAAAAAGAUAAUUACAUAUAUAUAUAAACAAAUAAUAAUAAUUACAUAUAUUAAAAUUAAUUAAUUUAGAAAAAUAUAUAUAAAAUUUUUUUAUGAAGAAUAAUAUAAAAAAACAUACGUAUAUACAUAUUUAUCAAAGUAAAAAAAAAUAUAAAAGUAUAUAUAUAUAUGCAUAUAAAAGUUAGGAAAUAAAAAAUGUAUAUGUAUCUAAAUGUAAAUGUAUAUAUAUGUAUAUAAAAGUUAUGCAAAUAGAAUAAUAAUAAAAUAUAUAUAUAUAAUAUCUGCAUGUGUUUAUAAAAUUUUUUUAAACAAAUGUAUGUAUAUAUAUUAUUGUAAAAAAAUAUGCGUAUGUGUAUAUAUAGUAAUAAUAAUGAUAAUAAUAACAAUAAUAAUAAUAACUUAAUAACAAGAAAAUCAAAUUUAAUAAAAAUAAAUAAAAAAUAAAAAAAGACUAAAUCGAGCUUUGACAUAAAUUCUGGGCUUAAAUCCGCAAAUAAAUGAAGUCGAAAGGACCCUAUUGAACACGCCAAAGAAAAUAAAAAUGCAAGAGAAAGAGAAAUUUGAGGGAAUACUCUUAAGAAUUAUUAUUACUCCCAACUUCCCUCUCCUUACAAUGAAGGGAGAGGCCUCUAUUUAUAGUUGAGCCUCCCAAAAUCCAACGGUACAGAUCAAUUACAUCAACGGCUAAGAUUAAAGGGUAUCUACAAAUUAAAUCUCUAAGAUUACAAAAUCAUAUCUUCUAAGAUUGCAUAUCAUAUCUAAGAUCAUAUCUAAGAUUGCAUAUUCUUGAAGAUUAUGUUUCCAUAAGCUUGUAGAUGGACCUUCAACCUUUUCAAGUAAUGGGCCAUUUUAAUCGGGCCAAAUGAUAUAAUUUUGUACUGGACUUAAACUUUGUUUUAUUAUUUUGGGUUUAUUAUUUUUUUAUAAGCCCAGGCUAAAAUUGGGUAUUACAUUAUGAAAUAUAAGGAAUUAAUAAAAUAGGACUUGUCAACUUGAUUAAGGAAGUACAUGUAUAUAUAUUGAAUUCUUUAAAUAAGCUAUAUGUAUGUGCAUAUAUAUAGUUUUAAUAAUUAUAAAAAAUUUAAAAACUUUAAAUGAUUAUUUAAAUUUCUUAUAAUUUGUAAUCAUUUUAAAUAAUUUCAUUUAAUUUUGUAUAAUUAUUUAAGAAACCACUAUAUGACUAGACAAUCAUUUUUUUCAAGUUAAUUAUGAACAUUUAAAUUAUUUUAGAAUAUAUUUUUAUUAAUUUUCAAUAUUUUUAUAAUUUCUUAUAUUUCUUAAUAAAUUUUGAACAAUUUUCUAUAUUUUUAUUUUUAUUUAUAAUUAUUUGAAAAAUCAAUGUCCAAGAUGAUUGUCCAGGUUGUACAUGUUCAAAUGAACCUGAACAACCAUUUAUUCAAGUUUAUCCUAGAUGUGAUUUUUUAAAUAAUUAUAAAAUACAUGUAUUUUAAAACUUUUAAAUAUUCUCACAUUAGCAUGAAGCACACAUAGCAUGCCACAUGUUACUGUCUUGUUGCUCUGUCAGCCGCAUUAGCACUUACUAGUAGAAAUAGAUGAAAUUUUUAAUAGAAUGACCAAUUUGCUUUUUAAUCUAACAUAUAGAGACUAAUUUGUCCAAUUUUUUAAUAAAGGGGGCAAUAUGCAAUUCAACUUCUAGUAUAAGAGCCUCCAUGGUACUUUUACUUUUUUGUACAAAUAAAAAGUUAAUUUUAUAUCUAACAGAUCCCAGACCUUAGCUGCAAAAGGGCAAUCUCAAAAACCAUAUUCUAAAUUCCUUACACCACCCCCCACACUUGGGGCAAACAGCAAAUCCAACUAGCCGUUUAUUGUAUAAAUUGUAGAAAUUAGGAAUUAGACGAUGAAAAAUACGCCAAGCUGUAAUUUUAAUCUUUCCUGACAAGUUGAGUUGCCAAAUCUUCUUGUAGAAAAUAUUGUAACCACUAUUAUUAACAAUGGUGUUAGGUAUUCUAAACCCUUGUAAUAGAGUCCUAUAGCCACUCCUAACUGUAUAUUUGCCUGAAGGUUCUUCUCCCCAAACAACAAUAUCAGGCUAUGGGAUACACAGAAUUUUUCUCACCACCUUGGUUCUAAAGCAACUGGUAAUUUUAGCUACAUCCCAUUUUCUUUCAUGUUGUGAAAUUAGGUCAGAAACUUUAGUGGCAAUGUACCUUCCAAAUUCUAAAUUUUACAUUUUGCUAAUCUAGGGACCCAGACAUCAUCCCAAAUACUGAUUUUCGAACUUGUUCCCACCUACCGGCCCAUUCCCUCUUUUAGCAGACGUAUUGCAGCCUAUAUGUUUUCCAGGUAUAGGAUGGGUAAGUUCUUAAAUUUGCAUCCAAAAAAUCAGUAGUAGGAUAGUAUUUGGCUUUAAGAGAUCUGGCUAAUAACGAACUUUGAUCUUUAAUCAAACAUCACCCUUGUUUAGCAAGAAGGGCAAAAUUUACCAAGAGUCCGGAAUCUCAUGCCACCAUUCUUUUUCAACUCCCACAACUUCGACCACUCACACCAAUGUAUCCCCCUUUUCCCCCCUAAAUUUUUGUUAAAAAAACCAGUAAUAAUACGUUCUUUAAUCCAAGCACAACGAAGCUGACUAAAAAAAAAGACAUCGUAAAAGUGGGAAUGGCCUGUAACACACUAUUUAUAAAUACAUCAUUCCCCCUUGGGAAAAAAGCCUCACGCACCAACUGUUAAUACGACUCCUCAAACGAUCCUUCAACCCUUGACAAGCUCUUUUUUUACUCCUCCCUACCAUGUUUGGCAAUCCCAAAUGUCGCUUAGGAUAAUAAGAACCACAAACCCCCAAACAAUCUAAUAUCCUCAUCCUCUCUCCUUCCUCAACAUUCGAACUAAAAUAAACAAAUGAUUUAUCAUAGUUUACGCAUUGCCCCGACGUCUCCUUAUGCUCCUUAAGAAUUUGUUUUAGGAUCUCCACCGAAACCCCUCCAAAUAAAAUACAGUCAUCAGCAAAUAGAAGAUGAGAGACCUCCGGACCCCUUCAACACAUUUGAACACAUUUAACCAAUCCAUCUUAGCUUGCCAUGCGCAUUAGAGAAGACAACCCUUCAUUGCAUAUUAGAAAUAAAUAUGGGAUAAGAGGAUACCCUUGUCGAAAAUCGCUUCUUAGAGAAAAACCCUCCCCAGUUCACCAUUAAGAACAAUAGAGUAUGAGAUGGUACUCACACAUUGGAUAAUAAAAUCCACCCAAAUUGUCGAGAAGCUCAUCUUCAACAUCAUCUUCUCUAUAAACUCCCACUCCACCCUGUCAUAUACCUUACCAUGUCAAGCUUAAGAGCAAGAUGCUUCUUCUUUUCAAGCCUUCUCCGCUUAUACACCUCUAAAAUUUCAUAUGCAAGGAGGAUAUUAUUUGUUAUUAACUUUCUAGAGAAAAAAGUGCUUUGCGCUUUAUCCAUACAACAAUUUAAUACUUUUUGAAGUCGGCUUCCACUAUUUUAGAGAUAGUCUUAUACAACACCGUACAAAGACUAAUAGGGCAGAAAUGCUUCAUGCUAGUAAUGUAAUACCCAAUUUUUAGCCCCGGCCCAAACCAUAAAUGAAGCCCAAAUCACAAACCAAAUACUAAAACUAAAUACAUUUAACCCAAAUAACCCAAACUACAAACCCAUUAACCUAAACCCAAGGCCAACUACAAUAUAGCCCAAGGGAGAAACCCUAAGCAGUUAGCAGCAGACAGCGCCGCAUGCCCCACGUUCGGCAGCCUCCACAUCGCCCACGUUCAGCCCUCCGCGCGCACGACGCACGUUCUUCCUGCAACAAACCACGAACCAUGAACAGCAGGGAUAGCAAAAAUAUAGCAAAGAUUAAAAAAAGAUUUUCAUGGAUUUUUAUUGGGGGGAUCUGCUAUAACAGCCGUUUUCAAAGCUGUAAAAAGGGGCAAAAAAAUCUUUUGUAAAAAAAGGAAAAUCAAAAGAGAAAAAACAAGCAUGUUGCAUCAACCAUCAGAGAAAAAAUACAAAAAUAGGGAUUGAAGGUAGUUUUAGUCUCUUCGUUUUGAUUUAUAUUAAACUAGUACAGCAAAUAAAAGGAAAAAGGUAAGGGAGGCUUACUUUUGCAUUCGUAUAUGCUCAAAAGGGGUUAAAAACCCAACUCGACGUGCCUUUUACCACCGUUCACGGUGGAACCGCGGCGGUUGGCAUGACAGCUGCGGCGUGGAGGUGCUAGGGUCAAAACCCUAGCAGAGAAUUUUCCCCCUUUUGUUUUUAAGGAAAAUGAAAUAAAAUGUUUUUUUAAAGGAAAUUUUGGUUUUAAUACUAUAAACAAAACGGCGCCGUUUGAUGGGGGAGGACCCGCGCGUCGACCCGACCCGCAAGCAGGGUCCGCGCAUUCUGGCCCUAAAUAGAAAAUUUUCACGAUUAGUCCUCCGCUUUUAUAACAUGCUUAAAUUGAUUCUUUCAUGUUUCCUAAAUGUGGCCGCAUUUUCCAUCGUUUAUUUCAAUUUGGUCCAGGCUUGGAGCGCUGCGUUUUGGAGGGCUUGGAAUAUUUCCGAAUUGACCCUCCAUGUUACGCGCAUUUUGCAAAUUCGCCUUCUGUUUUAAUUUAUUUUUGUUUUUUUUUUCAAUUAUGUUUUGAUUACAAUUUAAAUUUUGGUAUUUGUUUUACUAAUUAAGUUUAAUAAUAAUAAUAAUAAUAUAUUAUUAUUAUUAUUAUUAUUAUUACAACCAUGAAUUUGUGCGUAUUCCUUAUAAUAUACGUAUAUAUACCUUUUAUUUUACAUAUACAUUUUUCCAUUUUAUAAUCCAUACAUAUAUAUACAUUUCCUUUAUGUUAUAUACGUACAUAUCUUUUUAAAAAAUAUUAUAAAUAUAUUUUCUUUUUUUUGCAUAUUUCAUUUUUUUAUAUGCUUAUACAUACUUAUAUAUACAUAUGAAUUUUCAUACAUUCAUAUACAUAUUUUCAUAACUUAUUUAUAUAUUUUAUGCAUUUUUUUUCAUAUUUUGUAAAUACAUGUAUAUAUUAUAUAUAUUUAUUUUAUUUUCAUAACUUUUAUAUACACAUAUAUAUACAUUUAUAUUUUAUAAUAUAUGUGCCUUUUCCUUAUUUUAUAAUCCAUGCACAUAUACAUGCAUUUUUUUAUAAUAUAUAUACAUACUUUCUUUUUCUUUUUCUUUUUUUAGAAAAAUUAUUUAUAAGUUUUUUUUUGUUUUAUAUAUUUCAUUUUUUAUUUUUAUUUUAUUUUAUAUGUGAAUACUUAUAUGUAUGUAUUUUAAUAUAUGCAUACACAUAUUGCAACUAAAGUUAAAAGUAAUAGGUUUGAACUUUAUUGGAAGCAUCGUAGAAAAUUAAAAGUGGUAUUUACAAAUCACAUGAAAUUAAAACAAUUAAGAAUAAGCAUCUUAGUCUGCCUUGUUGCACGAAGUUAGGGUUUUCUUGUCUGCCUUGUCGCACGAAAUUCAAAUUCUAGGGUGAUUGAAAUACUGCCGAUUGGAAGGAAUUUUUUACUUAAAGUUUAGGGGUUUUUUGUUUACCUUGUCACGAAUCUUAAAUCUAAGACGGUGGUUCUGCCGGUUUAAAGGGAAGUUAAUUACUAGAAGACAAAGAAGGGUCAUGGCCAAUGUUAAUCAGGUGGAUACUGAGUUAGCCAACCUCAAUAUCAACGAUGAAGAGGAAGAUCCCAUGGUGGUUUUGGAGGAAAAUAAGGCUAAUGAAGAGUUAUAUGAUAUAUGUCUGGUGGGGAGAGCUAUUACGGAUAGCAUUGUAAAUUUCACAUAUUUAAUAAACACGUUGGCUGAUUUAUGGCAUCCAUUAAGAGGAGUAUCAAUCACAGAAUUAGAGAAUAAAAGGAUUUUAUUUAGAUUCUACAGUGAGAUUGAUUUAAAGCGUGUCAUGGAUAGGAUGCCAUGGUUUUUUAAUAGACAUCUCAUUAUUUUUCAUAGUUUAGCAAGAGACGAAGAUCCUAAUUUGAUCCCCCUAUGGAAUGCAGCUUUUUGGGUUCAGAUCCACAACCUACCUAAAGGAGUAACAUCAGAGGGAACAGUGCGUCAGCUGGGUGACUUUAUUGGCAAAUUUAUGGAGUAUGAUUCUGCAAUGGUGACAAGAGGGGGAGGUAAAUUCAUGAAAAUUAGGGUUCUACUUGAUAUUCGAAAACCACUGAAAAGGAAAAAAUGAAUCAGCAUCGAGCAGAAUAAAUUUAUAUAUGUUAUAUUUCAGUAUGAGAGACUAUCACUUUUUUGCUUUAUUUGUGGCUGACUUGGUCAUGGAGAGAGUUUUUGUGAAGUAAGAUUAACACUUGGGAACCAAAAAGUGGAGUUUGGGUGGGAUUUGUCGCCAAGAGCAAUGCCAAGACGGGGAGGACAGGCCGUGAGCAAAUGGCUAAGAGAGGAUACAGAAAAGGAAAAAUGGAAUGAUAUGGAGAUUGAUGGGGAAAGAAGGCUAAGAAGAUCUGACGAAGAAGGUAUUAAUAGGAACGAACUCAGGGGGAAAGAGGUACCUUGGGACGUAUCACUCGGCAAAUUCGGAUCAUAAACGAAAGGGAUCGAUUUAAUUUGAGAAAUUUAGAGGAAAAUAGUUUGAAGAAGAAAUGGAAGAUUUACUAGUAGAGCUUGUUGAUAGAAAAAAGCGGCAAAGGAUUAAUCCUGAAAAAUGUGUCUUUAGGAAAUAGUAAGAGCCUAACAGAAGGAAAUGUGGAAAUCAAUUUAUCGGCGGUCACUCCAAAGGUGACUGACCGGGCACAAUGAAAAUCUUAAGUUAGAAUGUUCGGGGUUUGGGGCAUCCUCGAACUGUACGACGUCUCAAAAACAAAUCGAGACAUAUCAAGCCCCAAAUAUUGUUUCUUAUGGAAACAAAGGUUACAAGUAAACGAAUAGAAUCAAUAAGAAGACAAUGUGGGUUUACAUGUGGUAUCGAUGCGGCGGCAGUAGGCACGAGUGGAGGGUUAUCAUUAAGAUGGAAGGAGGGAGGGAAAGUAUCAUUGAACAGUUUUUCGAAAUCUCAUAUCGAUGUAGAAAUCGAAAAUGAAGAGGAGAUGGAUUCAUGGAGACUCACGGGAUUUUACGGAGAACCAGUGGAGAAUGAAAGGAAAAAGACUUGGGGUCUAUUAAAGCUCUUAAAACGUGAAAGUAGCAAACCAUGGCUGACUAUCGGAGAUUUCAACGAAAUUUUCUUUUUUUUUUGAGAAAAAAGGGGGGAAAAUCCGUGAUGAAAGGUAGAUGAAUGCAUUUAGGGAAACACUUGAGUAUUGCGAUUUAUAUGAUUUGGGGUUUUCUGGACAAUGGUACACAUGGGAAAAAGGCCAGCUGGCUAACAACAACAUUAGGGAAAGAUUGGACAGAGGUGUUGCAAAUAUGGAAUGGUGGGACCUUUUUCCAAGAUUUAAGGUUAGCCACUUACAACACAGUUUUUCAGAUCACUGUCCAGUCAUGGUUGAUACAUUUUGGGAUGAAGGGAUACUAGGGAAGGAAAAACAUUUGCAUUUUCGUUUUGAUGCAAAUUGGAUUCUAAAUUAGGAAAUUGAGGAGAGGAUAACACGGGAGUGGAAUUCAAAUAAUCUGGAUGUGCUUGAGAAGUUGAAAAAAGUGGGUACGAAUCUGAGUACUUGGGCGAAGAAGGAGAAACGACGGAAAGAACAACGAAUGAAAGAUUUAAAUGGUAGACUACUGAAACUGGGGGCUAGCGAUAUCAGUGAUGCUGUAUUAGAGGAGAUUACUGAGAUUAAGCUAGAUUUGAAUCUCGAGGCAGAUAAAAAGGAACUUUUUUUGGAACAAAGAGCAAGAGUUAACUGGCUCCAAUUGGGAGACAGAAAUACGGCAUUUUUUCACAAGAAUGCAACACAUCACAGAAGGAAAAAUAGGAUUCAGGGGUUGGAAAAUGAAGCAGAAACUUGACCACUGAUGAGUCUGAAAUCAUGGUUCUAGCUACUAAGUUUUUCACAGAUUUGUUCACAUCUAAACCAGUGGAAAACAAUGACAGAUUUUUUAAUUCAUUUUUACCAUGCAUCACAGAGGAACACAACGGUAUUUUAAUGGAGGAAUUUAAAGAAGAAGAAGUGGUGAGGGCGAUAAAAUCUAUGGCACCCCUUAAGGCAUCAAGACAAGACGGAUUUCCAGCAAUUUUUUAUCAUAAGUACUGGCAUGUUGUUGGAGAGGGAGUUUCAAAAUAUUGUUUGGAUGUUCUUAAUGGACGAAGAAAUGUAGAGGAGAUAAACAAAACAAACAUAGUACUUAUACCAAAAGAGAAAUCGCCAAAGUCUAUAAACAAGUUUCGACCCAUUAGCUUGUGCAAUGUUAUUUACAAAAUUGUCUCAAAAGUCAUUGUUUCACGUUUUCGACAGGUACUGGACUUAUGUAUUGAGGAUACUCAAGGAAUGUUUGUACCAAGAAGACAAAUAACAGACAACAUUCUAAUUGCUUAUGAGGUAUUGCACUCGUUCAAAAAAAGAAGAGGAACAUCAAAAAAAAGUUUUGCUUUGAAGCUAGAUAUGAGCAAAGCAUACGACAGAGUUGAAUGGAGUUUUUUAGAAAAAAAUGAUGCACAGUAUGGGAUUUUGUGAGAAUUGGAUCUUACUGGUUAUGAGGUGUAUCACCAGUGUAGUAUAUACAGUGGUGGUUAACGGGAAAAACGGGGAAGAAUUCAGGCCACAACGAGGAUUAAGACAAUGUGAUCCAUUAAGUCCAUAUUUAUUUCUUAUUUGUGCCGAAGGAUUUUCAAGACUGAUUGCACUUGCAAAAAGGGAAGGGAGUCUUAUUAGGACAAAGGUGGGGAGAGGUAACGUGUCAGUGUCACAUCUGUUCUUUGCAGAUGAUAGUAUUCUAUUUGGAGAAGCUUCAGCAGAAGGAGCUAACCGUAUGAAAAGUGUAAUACAGGAGUAUGAAAAGGUUUCUGGACAAUUGGUUAAUUUUGAAAAAUCCCUUAUCUAUUACAGCGGCAAUGUGGAUUCGCUUAUAAAGGAUCAAGUGGGAAGGAUAUUAGGCAUCAGGAAUUCCAAUAAUCCAGAAAAAUAUCUGGGGCUUCCAACCAUGGUGGGUCGCCGAAAAAAGCAUGCUUUUGUUGAGUUAAAAGAAAAAGGCAUGAAGUUAUUGGGCAACUGGAAGAUGAAAUUUUUGUCGGUUGGAGGGAAUGAGGUACUUUUAAAAUCUAUUUUUCAAGCAAUUUCGGUUUACGCAAUGCAAUGUUUUAAGUUACCAGUUACAUUUUGUCAUGAAUUGGAGAUUCUGAUGUGUAAAUUCUGGUGGAGGAAUUCUAAAACAAAUAAAGGGAUUCACUGGUGUAAAUGGAAGGAGUUAUGCAGUGCCAAAGCAAAGAGAGGACUAGGAUUUAAAGAUCUAUCAAAAUUUAAUUUGGCCCUGUUAGCGAAGCAGGGGUGGAAAAAUUGGAGAUUCUGAUGUGUAAAUUCUGGUAGAGGAAUUCUAAAACAAAUAAAGGGAUUCACUGGUGUAAAUGGAAGGAGUUAUGCAGUGCCAAAGCAAAGGGAGGAUUAGGAUUUAAAGAUCUGUCAAAAUUUAAUUUGGCCCUGUUAGCGAAGCAGGGGUAGAAAAUUAUUAUGCAACCUGAUUGUUUGUUGGCACGCGUAAUGAAAGCCAAGUAUUUUCCAAAAGGUGAUUUUAUGAGUGCGGGGAUAGGAACCUACCCUUCGUAUACCUGGCGCAGCAUUUUGGGAGCUAGAUAUCUUCUUGAGGAAGAAAUGGGCUGAAGAAUCAGUAAUGAGGAAUCAGUGAACAUUUGGAAUGAUAAAUGGCUUCCUGGACCUGGCAAUGGCAGAAUUGAAUGUCAAAAUAUUGACAUAAGGUACACCAGAGUGUCUGAUUUAAUUAAUAAGGAAGAGAAUACUUGGAAUCAAGGAGUUAUUCGCACGUUGUUUGGAGAGAAACACUGGCAGAACAUAGCUUCAAUUCCAUUAGUGAGCAGCAGAUUACAGGAUACUCUAGUAUGGCGUAGUGACAACUCCGGGGUAUAUACAUCAAAAAGUGGCUACAGAUGGCUUAUUACAGAGGGGGUACAAAAUUAAAUAAUGAAAAUACUACCACUUUCUUUACAAAGCUCUGGAAGCUCAAGAUCCCUAGUAAAAUAUGCAUCCUAAUUUGGAGAAUUGUUAAUGGCUAUAUUCCUACUUUACAGAAUCUAAAAGCCCGUAGCUUGGUCCGUAAUACUGUUUGCCCGGUGUGUCAAGUUGAAGAGGAAUCGGUGGAACAUCUCUUUAGAGAUUGUAUCUUCACGCAACAAGUUUUGAGGGGAUUGGGAGUGACAGUCACAACAUGCAAUCAAGAAACCAGUUGGAAAAAUUGGUUAGUAAAAGAUUUUGAAAAUCAGAGCAUAAGAGAUUGUAAACUUAGAGCUAUCACCUAUUGGGCAAUUUGGCAUAAUCGCAAUAAAAGUUAUCAUGAGGGUGUACGGGAGACAGCAACUGAAGUAGUGGGUUUUAUUAAGGCCUACGAUAUUGAGAUAUCUGCUACAAGGGAAAAGCUAGCGAGUUCAUGUGAUGGUAGAAUAUCAACCUGGGAACCACCUGACAAUGACACCAUAAAAAUAAAUUUUGAUGCCUCAUUUAAUCAAUCAGCAAACUUCUCUACCACAGGAAUCAUUGCACGAAACAAAGAUGGACUGAUAAUGGCAGCAAGUACCUACCCAUGGAAAAAUAUUGCAGAUCCAAUUAUGGCUGAGGCAAGGGCGUGUCUGCAAGCUGUUAUUUUGGCGGAAGAAAUGGGAUUCCAGGAUGUAUGCUUUGAAGGGGACGCGCUAACCAUAAUACGCAAACUGAGAGCCACGGAUGAAGAUAAAUUGUGCAUCCGCAGUUUGAUUAAAGAGAUUAAGGAAAAAGGACGUAGAUUUAGAAGACUGAGUUUUAAGCAUAUACCGAGGGAAACUAAUAAAGUGGCUCAUGCGAUGGUGAAAUAUGGAGAACGAUACGAGCAUCUCGAUUUUGGAUUGAGGAAGCACCGCAUGCAGUAGAGUUUCUGGUAAAUCAAGAAAGGAGAAAUAACAGGCACAGUGGUAUGAGAGAAAGGUCGAGUCCAGGUUUGAGGUGAUGGUGCGCCUGAUGAACUCGUGUUCUGAAGAGAGAUUGUGAAAUCAAGAAAGUAAGAUUUUGGAAGAUAAGAGGUCUCUUGAAUGGCUGAUAAGGGAGUUUUGUUGUUUGAUGAAGAAGAGAGGAGAUGAAGAGUUCAUAUGUUCGUUCAUUUUUUAUUUUAGGUGAUUUUGAUUUUCUAGGAAUAGCUUUACAGCACGUUUGGUUCGCUGUAUUGGAUUAGAGGUGUAUUGGAUUAGAGGUGUAAUGGAAUAGAGGUGUAAUGGAAAAGCUGUGUAAUAGCAAAUCAACUGUUUGGUUGAAUGUAAUGGAAUAGAGGCGUAAUAGUAAUCCUGUGUUUGGUUGAGUGUAAUAGAGGUGUAAUAGCAUAAUGAAAAAACUAAAAUGACUAGAAUACCCUUAGCAGAAAUUUGUUUUGGUAAAUGAUUAUUGUUAUUGUUAUUUAAAAUUUUAAUAAGAUUAUUAUUAUCAAUAAUAAAUAAUUUAAUCAUAUUUAAACAUAAUUAUUAUUAAAUAUAUUUUAAUUAAAAUAUAUAAUUUAAUAAAAUUCUUAAUAAUCAAUAUUCUUAUAUGAAUUACUCAAAUCAUAAUAUAUGAUACUAUAAAAUAUAAAUUAACAUAAUUAUUAUUAAAUAUAUUAUAAUUAAAAUAUCAUGAAUUUAAUAAAAUUCUUAAUAAUUAAUAUUCUUAUAUGAAUUUACUCAAAUCAUAAUAUAUGAUACUAUAAAAGAUAAUUUGAAAUAAUUAAUAUUAAAUAUAUUUUAAUUAAAAUAUAUGACUUAAUAAAAUUUAAAAUAAUUAUAACUAAUAAAUUAUCUUAUAUGAAUUUGUAUAAUUUAAAAUAAUUAUUAUUACAUAUAAUUUAAUAAUAAUAUAUAAUUUCAUAAAAUUCUUCAUAAUAAAUUUUCUUAUAUGAAUUUAUACAAUUUAAAAUAAUUAAUAUUAAAUAUAAUUUAAUAAUGAUAUAUAAUUUCAUAAAAUUCUUAAUAAUAAAAUAUUCUUAUAUGAAUUCAUAUAAGAUAAUUUAUAAUUGCUCUUUGAGGACACUUUUGUGGUUUAAUCUUAGUUUUGCAUGUUAAUAGAUGGAAUAGCUUGAACUAAUGGUGUUAUAUAAAUCUGUUGGAUAUUUGCGCACCACAGGAUAAUGCCCAACCCUUGCAAUCAAUUGAAGGUGAUGAAAAGCAAGAAGAUACAUCUAGUAAUGGUGGUAAUGAUGAGCAGAUGGCUUCUGAAGAAGAAGAUGCUGAAAAGGCAAAGUCAAAAUCUGCCACAAGCAGGCAAAAUGAGAAGCUGUAUGCAGUAGAAGGCAUGCUGAACACAAAGAUGAAAAGAGCUGAGAAUAAGAGAAGGAAAAAAGCCAAAAAUAAAUUAACCUCACGGGAUGAAGCUAUGGAUGAUGAUGAUGAUAAUUAUGACUUUGGUGUGGAUUAUGUUAAGGGAAAGGAGCAAAACUAGUGGAGGAGUUCCAAUGUCAGGUGUUGAAGUUGAUGAGUGAUGAGAACUAGACAUACCUAGAAAAUUUUAUGCAGACACUGAAGGUGUUGGAUCCAUGCAGGAUCAGAAAUUUUGUUUAAUCGAUGUAAUUCCUUUCAAUGCUGUCACUUGUUAAAAUGUUAUUUAAUGAAUGCUUACAUAUUUUUUAAGAACCUGAACAUAUAAACCUGAAAGUUAUUUUUUUUGUUGAAUAUAAAGGGAGCAGAAAUAGAUUCAAACAAAAAGGAUAAUGGGGAUUAAACACCCUGGAUAUUAUAUUUAUUUGGUACUGUAUCAGAUGAAAAGUGUGAAAUACAAAUAGAGAUACUUGGCACUAUUCCUUUUUAGUAUCAGGCCCAGGGUCUGUAUUAGCAGCAGCAGGGUUGAGGGGAUUAUAGGAGGAUGGGGUUGUAGAAACUCCGUUAUUGGCAGUUGAGGGCGAAGCUUUAGCUGCAGCCCCAUUGUUUGCAGUGGCACCACUGCCCAUAGAUGUACUUAGGGAAGUAGACUUUGGAAUCAGCCUUUGUGCCUCCAAUUCCUCGCGUGCCGCUUGCUCUUUGGCUCUUUUUGCUCUUUCCAAUACCUCUUCCUGUGUGCAUGAAUUAAAGGGGAUGUCAUAUUUUAAUAAAUCAUCAAAAUGGAGUAGUAAAAUGCAGCAAAUUUGCAGAUGAACGAUUUCAAUUCCAACAAAAGAAGAAAAGAUCCUGAUGGCCAAUUUGUUAUUGCAUUUACUCAGAAAAUAAUGGUACAUCCCUAUGUAAACCGACAAAGGUCAGUUUCAAAAAUGCUGUAGUAGAUGUAAAGUUGAAUUCUAGCUUGAGCCUCCAAUAACUAACUAGAAAUGGAAUUCAGAUAAUACAACUUGCUAGAAUUUAAGUUGGUGUGAAACUAUGGCCAUGCAGUUCAUGAUGAGGUUAAGAGAGAGGGUUGGUUACUGGAAAUGCCAUUGAUACAGUAUAUUUGAAAACCUGAACGCCAUAAUUUUCCUCAAAAGGAAGAAAAGGGGUCUCUUACAUUAACUCUUCCUAUUGUAAAUGAAGCAAAAAUAAUACCAGCAUCAAAAGAAGGCAUUUAAAACAAAUGAUGACUGCAAUUUCGUAAGGCUCCCAAGAACAUAUGUCAAGAAAAGAAAAGAAAACCUUUAACUCCUCCCAUUUAAAUACCUUCAAAUUAUUGUUAUUUUUCCAGUAAGGUUUGGUUUGUAAGCAAUAGAACCAAUCACUUUGGGCACCAUAACAUUAGGAUUCAGAAACACACGUAAUGGUCAAGCAGCACAGAAGUGUAUUAGAGCCAAAUUUCAAAUUCAUAAAACUCUCCACUGGUGGCGUUUGUGCAUUACCAAAUAAGCUAUUCCAAGAGCUAUGAAAUAAACCCAGCAAAAGUGAACACCCCCCUCCCCCCCCAAAAGAAAGGGCCAUGACAUGAAUCAUGAAUUUAUCAAGGAUUAGAUUCAAGAACAAAAUCUGGUUACCUGGAAAUCCUGCACUUGCUUUUGUUGCUCAACCUGCAACCUUCCAACAACACUCAAAAAUUCCCAACUGUGGACUCGAUUCUCUCAUUCAAUGCUUCAGCUACAGCCUUCCCUAAGAAAAAAACAUCCAGCACAUUCCUGCUUUCAUUAUCACCUGCAAUACUAAGUAUCCCACUCAGUUUCACAUAGAAAGGAAGAAAAAAAACACACAGCUACAAUGUAUUAUAGGGUUGGGUUCACUCAUUCUUCUCAAGAAACACUCAAUUUAACCUUAUUCCCACAGGUGCACACAAUUGUAACCAUGUUUAUACUAUUAGGUCUUUCAAUACUUAUUUUCCAGCAAGAUAAAAUCCCUGGUUCAUUACUCCAACUAUAACCAGCUUAAUGAUGCUAUCUUGAUGAGCUCUUCUAGCAUUUCGACUAUCUUAAUGAGCUCAUUAAUAUUAUCACGUUGUAAAUAGAAAAAAAAAUUAGGGAUUUAUUCAUGUAUAAAUACACCCUCUAUUGUAUAUUUCUACUACAAACAUACACAGAGAAAUUCUCGAUUAAAAUCCAAGUUCAUGAAGCAAACACAAAAUAAACCCAGAAUAGUUGGAUUUUUGAAUCCCAGAAGCCACUUGGCAGUGAUGGAUUUGAACACCAAAUAAAAAGAAAAGGGAAUUAACACCAAGAAACCGAAAAGGAACCAGACCUGAAAAAUGAACACCAAGAUUCAUACCUCACGCCGAGACCGAGAGAAAAAAUGAAGCAGUGGCUUUCAAACGUGCUGCAACAAAUGAAAGGGAAAAAAUGAUCGAGAGAGAGAAUCGGUAAAGGCAGACGAGGAGAAAUGAUGAGGACAGAAAAAGGAGAGGGUCGGGUAGGGAGGGAGGGUAAAACAGAGACUUGGAAAGGGAAGCCGGACGUAAUGGGUAAUCCUCGAUUUGGGAAGGGAAUAGAAAAACAGAGAAUUUGGGGAUUAGGUCGGUAUUGUAAUACGCGCGUAAUACCUAUUACAGCGAACCAAACGCCGGAAUAGGUCGGUAAUGUAAUAGGCGCGUAAUCGGGGCGUAAUGGAUUACCUAUUACACUGAACCAAACACACUGUUAAAGUUUUGUUUUCUCAAGGCACCGUUUAGGUAGCCAAUCUUUUUUUAUUCUUUUUGCUACUUUUAAGACUGUAUUUAUUUUCAUCUUCUCUCUUCAUAAUAUAAAUAUCAGCACAGUUCAAAAAAAUAUAUGCAUACACAUAUUUUCAAAAUUUACUUAUAUAUUCACUUAUAUAUCAUCCUUAUAUAUAUUUUGUAAAUACAUAUACAUGUAUAAUUUAAAUUAAAAUAUUUAUUUCAUAUUGUACAUUAAUUUUUUAACAUCCCUUUUGAAAAUAUAUAUCUUGGUUUCAUCAAAACAUUAAAAUCAUUUUCUUUUGAUUCAAAGGCUUUUAAAAUAAUGCAAUAUUCGAUAUUCGAGAUUUUCGAGGAAAUUGAGCCCUAACGUAUUGGGUUCCGAUUUUCUUUAUUAAUCCUAAAUAACCGAGAAUAUUCUUUAUUCAAAAUGCAUAAGUAUAAAAAUAAUUUUCGGGAACUUAACUUGUUGUGUCCUAAUGUAUUGGGCAUGACAUAUUGCUUUCUCGAAAUGAAGAUUUUCUUAUAAAAUAAAAGAGGUAUUCAAAGUUUGGGGAUUUUGAGAAAUUGAACCCUAACUUAUUGGGUCUCGAUUUCUUCGUCUGACUUAAACAAUUGAUUAUCCUUUUCAAAUUUCAUCAUUUGAGUUUUUUAAAAAAUCUUUUUAACCCUCGACACUAAGACAUUAAAUAAUCAAUUUGGUACCGAUUUUGCGGAGUUACAAGGGUGCUAACCCUUCCUCGUGCGUAACUGACUCACGAACUCAUUUUCUUAAAUUUCGUAGACUGAAAUCAUUUUUAAGGUAAGCCAAUCGCACCACAAUAAAGGAUCGGUGGCGACUCUAGUUUUUUUUUUGUUUUUAAAGUCGACAACCAAAUUUUUGUUUUCAAAAAAUGGUUUCGACAAGUAACAUUAGACACUUUUGAAAUUAGAACAAUAUGGGUAUGAUUUAUUUCAACUAAAGACGCACCUUCAUUGAGAACAUCAAGACAGUAAGACCCAACAUCUUGCCCAACGAUAUGCCAGUAAGUUUGGAAAAUAAUGAAGGAAAAUCAUUAAGCCCCGAAGCUUUAGUAGGCGCUAUUGCUUUUAAAGCUAUGAAGAUCUCCUCCCUUUCGUAAUAGGCCGUAAGACAUUUAUUCAUAUCAUCUGAAAUGCAUAAUCGCAUCCCUGCUAAAAUAUUAUCAGAGUUACACAUUCCUUGUGAGGUGAAUAACUCCAUAAAGUACCCAUUAGCAAUGCUAGAUAUUCACUAUUAUCUCUAGUAAUAUGACCAUCACCCUUGUCUAACCCUUUAACUCUAUUUGUCCGCUUCCUUUAUGAUACAACCCGAUGAAAAAAACUUGUAUUUUGGUCAACCUGCUUCAACCCAUUCACACACACCCUUUUUUCUUAAUACAUCUACUCCUUAUCCAUCUCUAGGCUCAACUCUAGUUUACUCCCCAAAAAGUCCAAGAUAUUGUCAUCACUUCUGUCCUCAUUAAGCUUAACUAUUCUAUUGCACAAUUUCCUUAUAUUCCCACAAUUUUCCUUCCUUAAUCGAGUAGCCACGCCUUCAAACCCAACCCCAACGAUUCAAGGCAUUAAGGAUCAAUCCCCAUACUACUUCCCCAAAGCUGAUGACCCUCUACCUCACAUGAUUCCUCCAACGUCCAACAGGCCCCUCAAAACUUGAGUUAGCAACUCCUUUGUCCAACCUCUCCUUGAUAUUGUUAUGUUCAAAAUUACCUCGCUCCCAAGUAAACCAAGGCCCCUCAAAACCCAAAUCCUCUAAUUGACAAUCCAUUAGCACCCUCUAAAACUCCUUCAUUCGCCCCUCCUAUUGACUAACCCUCAUUUGUUUUCAAACGAAUAGACUAUCUCAUUAAAUCUCCGCACACCAUUCAAGGCAAACUCUGAUCUCUACCCAACCCACGUAAUAGAUUCCAUAAAUCAACUUAACUCCUCGAAUCAGGUGAGACGUAAAACCCUGUCAUCUUCCAUUUAACAUCACUCUCAUACUCUUGAAUCUCUACAUCAACAUGGUUUUUUGAGAAACUCCUUAAGCUAACUAUAACAUCAGGAAGCCAACCCAAACUGAGCCUACCCCUAGAUCCCUCUGCUGGUACAUCAAUGCUAUGCAAAACUCCCUUUCUACACUCUUUCUCUAUAAUGAUCGAAUCCAACUUGGUCUCCAUAAAGAAGGCGACUUAGGGAUGAUGAAGUUUUAGCAUCUAUUAAAGCCUCCUAUUAGCUCAUGGACUCCUCAAUCCAUGAACAUUCCAACACAUAAUCCUCAUUGUUGUCCGUCGACCUAUCCCUGGCUGUCACCGAUAAUUCAUCCUGGUAAGCCAAUGAUGACUCACCCACAUUCUCCCCAGAAUUCGAAGUUUCAGAAACCUUACCAGAGAAAACAAUUGUCCUUUGCCUUUUAUUACCAUCCAAACCAUCAUUCAAAUUCUUCUCUAGAUCAUGAAUCAUUGGAUCCUACCCAAAUCCCGUAGACGAACUCGCAACACUCCUAAUUCCUUCCUUUAGUCUACCUUCUAAAUUUAUUCCCAACACCGUAUUAAUAUUACUCAUACCCUUAGAUACGAGGAAGCCCCUGGCGAUCCUUACCCCUCUUGACUCCAAUGAAUUUCCAACCGAACCCACCACACUCCCCUCUCGUAACCACACACUCUUAACUAUAGUAGCUCAUCUUGUCGGUGGAGCCCAUAACGAAAUAUCCUACCCUAUUUCAGCUUCAUUCACUUCCAUCCUUAACUGGAUCGCGUAAAAACUAUUACUAUGCCCCAGGCAUCCGCACAGAAAACAAAAUAAUGUAAGUUUUUCAUAUUGAAACCUCACAUAAGUAUGGUUUUGAGGAAACAAUUGAAUUUUCUUUCUUCUUUUCAAUGGGGAUCUAAUAUCAAUUCGUUUCUCUCCUAGAUUCGAAAUCUCAAUGCCCCUUAAUGGAUGCCAAAGAUUCACUAAAGUAUUGCGCAUCACCUGAAAUUAGACCACACUGGAUGUAAGGAAACAACCCACAAGACAAAGAUCAUACAUUCUAUUUUGGCCUUCCGAGACUCCCGCAACCUGCAACACCUCCUCAUCAUCAUCAUUGAUAUGCAACCCCGCAAUCCCAUUUUCCAUUGACAGAUUCACACACACAACCAACAGCCUCCACAGAGAUCAUAUAAAAGACAAGAAAAAGACAACUCAAAAUCCUAAAGAGUCCAAAAACGAAAAAACACUAACAAAAUGAUAAGAAAAAACCCUAUAGACGUGCUACUUUAGAGCAGGCAGAGACGUGCCAUUAGGUAGAGUUUAAUUAUUUUAUUUAUAAUUAUUUGAAAAUUUAUGUCCAAGAUGUCCAGGUUGCCCAUGUUCAAAUGAACCUAGACAACCAUUUGUUCAAGUUUAUCUUAGAUGUGGUUUUUUAAAUAAUUAUAAAAUACAUUUAUUUCAAAAAAAUUUUAAAUAUUCCCACAUCAACAUGGGAAACACAUGGCAUGCCACAUGUCACUAUCUGAUUGCUCUAUCAGCCGCGUCAACACUUACUAGUAGAAAUGGAUAAACUUUUUAAUAAAAUGACCAAUUCGCUCUUUGAUCUAACGUAUAAAGACUAAUUAGUCCAAUUUUUUAAUAGAGGAGGCAAAUGCAAUUCAAUUCCUAGUAUAGGGGCCUCCAUGAUACUUUUACUUUUUUGUUCAAAUAAAAAAUUAAUUUUACCUUGAGUAUUACUUUCCACGUCAUUGUUUAAGGGUGAAUUUUGUACAAAAGAAUCAAUUUGCACCUUUUUUUUCCUUAAAGUAUUGGGGUUAAUUUGUUUAUUUUUUUAUAGAGGGACAAAAUAUAAUCUAACUUCUAGUACAAGAGUUUCAAUGAUACUUUUACCCUUAUGUUCAAUUCUUGUUUUCUUUAAAGUUGCAAUAAUUCAAUUCUUCAAGAUUCAGGUGUUCCUCUUCAAAUUUCAAUAUAUUAGGCUUUAAUAAUCUUAGAGAGUUUAAAGUCGUUAGAUUGCUUUUUGAAAUCAAUUGAACUUGAAAUAAAGUCAGUACAUAGAAAUGGAAAGCUUAACUUUAUUCAAAGUUUGUUGCCAUGUGAGAUAGAACGAAAAUUAUAAGCCCAUAAAAGAAAAAAAAACGGAGAAGAAAUAAUAAAACCAAAUGUUGUGAAUGCAGUUUAGACAUAAUGGUCCUACAUUUGUAGAACUUCGUUCAAGAUAUAAUAUUAUUCAAUCAACCAACCGGUCAACACACUUCUAUCGGCUAAAACCCUGAAACUCCCUCUACAAGUAAAGCUCAUAUGGCCUCAAUAGAGAGCAACGAUACAAUUGGCAUACACCUAAUAUUACUCUAAUACCAGAGAUUUCUUCAAAUAUGAAAAUCUCAAUACAAAGAAAACUUAGAGCAAGAUUAUUUGAUUUCCCAGCAUUCAAAGUCACACACCCGCAUCAAGAAAAUAAGUCUCCUUUAUAUAAAGUCAACCAGCAAGUUAAAAGAUCUUGAUAAGUCUGUUGAAUCAAAGCUUCACAUUCAAAGGGCAACCAAUAAUGAUAAAUCACCCAUCUUUAUCUAAUAGAUUGCUCAUGAUCACUUAUCCAUUAGAUUAAAGAGAUGAUGGAAGACACAAAAUUUCCCAUAUCAAGGUAACUGAAUGAAAGUUUUACUCUCUUGAUUUGUCAAAGAUGCCACUCGAUCUUUUUAGCUAAAAAAUAACGUGUUCGACCAGCCCAAAGAAAACAUGUCUUCAUUCGAAAAUAACAUGGAACCAGCAAAACAAAAG